AUUUUUUCAACUUCAAGUGUUGUAAACUCUUUGACAAUUUUUUUUAUUUGUGUAUGAAUGACUUUGAAAUUGACUUGUUCCAUUUUUUUGUCUUUUACUUUGUCUUGAAUCUGCCCUUUAAUUUGGUUCUGCAUAUUUGGCAGGUGUGUAAAUGGAUUAUAUAAUCAAUAAGGAAUAGAAGAAGAGAAAAAGAAAAAGAGAUGAAAGAAGAAUCUACAGGAUUAAUCAUUGGAAUUUCUAUAGGUGUUGUAAUUGGAGUUGUUUUAGCAAUUUCUGCAUUGAUCUGCUUUAGAUAUCAUAGGAAGAGAUCACAGAUAGGGAAUAGUAGUUCUCGGAGGGCCGCUGCAAUACCGAUUCGCACAAAUGGUGCUGAUUCUUGUACUAUUUUAUCAGAUUCAACCUUAGGUCCUGAAUCACCUGUAAGGUCUGGUAGAAAUGGCAUGAACUUUUGGAUUGAUGGUUUCAAGAAAAGUAACAUGAUUUCUGCAUCUGGAAUACUUGAAUAUUCAUACAAGUAUGUUUUUCUUUUUCUUUUUUGUGUUGAGUUUGCUUUAAUGUGUCAUUCUUCUUGUUUUUUAAAUGAAACUGCUCUAAAUUCUUGUACAUUUACAUGUUUUGAGACUGAAUUAUGAGCAGCUAUCUAUUUUUAGAGUUUAAUUUUGAUACACUCUCUUUUACAUUGUCAACAAAUCAUAACUGAUGACUGUAGAAGUAGUUAUAGUUGAAUUCAAUUUUUUUUUUAAUGAUUUGAUGAUUAUGAUUGAUUGAAAGUUUAAAAUAUCAAUUUUUUCCCGAAGGUUUGAACUCAUGACCUGGACAAGGUCAUGAGUUCAAACCUUCGAAACAGCCUCCCCUUUACUAGGGUAAGACUGCUUCAUCUAUCCUGUCGAUAGGAGAUUCGUGCAUUAAGCCGUCUUUUAUGAAAUGGUCCACCAUAACACCAUUAUACUUGUUGAAAUAAGUAUUAGAUUGUCUCUUAACUUUUGACUCAUGUAUAAUGUUGUCCUUUUAUAUUGCACCAAAUACUAUAUAGUUAUGAUAAUUUGCAAAUUAUGGUGACAACUAAUUGUCUUCAAAAGUGGAGUGAAGAUCACAAUUGUUUGAACUCAAUGUAAUAAUUAAUAAUGACUUUUUUUUCAUCUAAUUAUCUAUUUCUUCUCUUUCUGUUUUAAUUCUCUUGUUUACACUUCAGGGACUUGCAAAAGGCAACAUAUAAUUUUACAACACUAAUAGGACAAGGUGCAUUUGGUCCUGUAUAUAAAGCUCAAAUGUCUACUGGUGAGACUGUUGCAGUUAAAGUUCUUGCAACCAAUUCUAAACAAGGGGAGAAAGAAUUUCACACAGAGGUGAAGAUUUUUACCAAUAAUCAUUUAGCAGAAUACUUUUCUUAAAAUAGCUAGAUUCUGUUGUUAAUUUAGAAAACCAUGAAAGUGUUAAUAAUUUUUCCAAUAGUUUUGGUGAGUCCACUAAUGUCUUGAUGGUCAAACAUUAAAUUUCCUAAAAAUAAGGGUAUUUAAUGUCUUAUUUAGUUCUUAUGCAAAACCUUAUAUGGAAAUUAUUUUUAAAUGGAGGUAGUAGUUAAUAUUUCUUUAUGAUGAUUUUUCUAGACUUGAGUGGUUUAUCAAUUUUAACCUUUUCUGUUAUUUUAAUUUUGGUUAGGUUAUGUUGUUGGGAAGGUUACACCAUAGAAACUUGGUCAAUUUGGUUGGAUAUUGUGCAGAAAAGGGUCAACAUAUGCUUGUUUAUGUUUACAUGAGUAAAGGCAACUUGGCUUCCCACUUGUACAGUAAGUCAGCUAUCUAUUUUUUUUGGUUCGAAAACUACAAGCCAUAAAUUCUUCCCUUAGAAUGAUCCACGAACCCUUCCCUUCAACUUUUUAAUUUUGAUGGAAAAAUUGAGAGAAAAGUGUACAGUUGGGACUGUUGUAUGCAAAUUUUGUAGAUGAAUACGCUUCAUGUAGAUAUCGGUUUUUGUAACCUAACCUAAGUCGACAUAACUGGCUUGUAAGAUGAACAUUGCCUAAGCGUUAUAAGUUCUAUUUAGGUCAUGUCUCUAGCUAAUGUGGGAUUUGGAUUUUUUUUCCAAUUGACCCAAUCACGCUCGAGUCUGGUGCAUGGAUGAUACAGGUGCCUCAAUACCUGAUAUAGAACCUUAGAAAAAUAUAAAUGUGCUUAGGUGAAUUAGCGACUAGAGAAAUGUUUAAUUUAUGCACAUAAAAGAUUAUUCAAAACUACACGAACGGUCCUUCAACUUAAUUUAAAGUUUCAAACACACCCUUUAUCGUUUUUUAGAUCAAAAAGGUCAUGUAUCUUUCUAAACGACAACAAUCUUAGACCUUUAGUGAUUUUCCAUCGAAACUGCUGAAAAAAAUGGCAUUACUUGGUUUUCUUUUGAAAUGUAAUUUGUCAUUAUGUCGUUACUUUGGAAUUCCGGUGCCAUUUUCGUCUUAUUUUGGAACUUGAAUGCCAUUUGGCUAGUCUUCAAUGAAUGAAAGAGAUUUGGUUUACAUUUAGCGAGAAAAUGUUUAAUUUAUGCAUGUAAAGAUUACAAGGAUAAAUAAUGAAUAUGAAAUGCAAUAUACAAGUUGAUUGAUUUAGUGAUCUCUAUGUGCAUUGAAGUAGAGCCAUGGUGAUGUUCAAUAAUGAUUUCCAUCACCAUAUUGAAAUUAUGAUUUUUUCAAUAAUGUGCCUUUCAAUACGGUGCUAUGAUUUUUUCUGUUUCUUUUUUGAUGGUUUCUUUUAAAUUCAAUUUGCAUAUAUAUGCAAUAAUAAAUGAAGCAUAUAAACUUGUCUCUAUAUUUAGGUGAAGAGAAUGGGAAUCUGGGCUGGGAUUUGAGGGUUCAUAUAGCUUUAGAUGUAGCAAGAGGCUUGGAGUAUCUUCAUGAUGGGGUAAGUUACCAUAUGAUCUGCACUGAGAUAAUCUUGAUUUAUAUAUUUAGUAACAAUUGUAUGUAUUGUUGUCACUCCAGGCAGUUCCUCCUGUCAUUCAUCGCGACAUCAAAUCUAACAAUAUUCUCUUGGAUCAGUCCAUGCGAGCCCGGGUAUGUCCUGUUAAUCAUCACUUUUUCUAAGCAUGACCUUGUAUAUCAUUAUCAGUAUUUUACGAUACAUGCUAGUCGUAUCUCGAUUCAGCACAAGAUUAUAAACUCAAUUGACACAAACCUGUAGUGUGUAUCUAUUUGGACUUGAAUCUCAUCUUGAACCCCAAAUUAUUAUGAAGAAACUCGAUUCACUAUGAUGAAUCUCGGUUCACUUUAAUGAAUCUCGUUUCAUUCUACUGAAUCAUUACACUUAGUUUACGCUGCAACCUAUUUUGUCAACUUUGUACAGCCUACCACUUUUCUUUUGCCAUUUGAUUUAUGACUAGAAUUUUGAAUUAUUUUGAGGUUUGUUAUGUAUGUCACAUGUUUUUACUUAAAAAUGUUAUAUUUUUUACUUGAAAUUUGAUUUGAUAACCAUGAUCUUUUAUUCAAUCUGUAUGAUCUGAGAUAAUGCUGAAUGACAAAAUAUAUAUUUCCUCUAAUAAUUUAUUGUGGGUUAGAAUUCUUAUGCUCUUAUUGAUUCUGAAUCAAAUAGGUUGCUGAUUUUGGACUUUCAAGAGAAGAGAUGGUGGAUAAACAUGCUGCUAUUCGUGGCACCUUUGGCUAUCUGGAUCCUGAAUAUAUAUCAUCCGGGACAUUCACCAAAAAAAGCGAUGUAUACAGUUUUGGAGUGUUGCUCUUUGAACUUAUAGCUGGCCGAAAUCCUCAGCAGGGUCUUAUGGAACAUGUUGAACUUGUAAGACCUCUCUCCCUCUUUCAAGCCCUGUUGAAAAUAAAAUGUAUCUUGUUGUUCUUUCUUCUUUGCUUGAUACAUAGUACAUAUCGAAACAAGUGGUGACAGAUCUAGAAAUUUAAGUUGCGGAGACAAUACUCACAAAUCCUUGUAAAUAAUAGGGCUUAUUGUGGUUCAAUUCAGAAAGAAAACCGUACCAAACUAAACCGUUACGGCGUUACCACAGUUCAUAAAAACUGAAGCGAACUGUUAAUGGGGUCCGUCCCAAGAGGUGCACCAGUUCGAUGAUUCUGAACCGAAAUAAAACUACCUUUACAAAAAAUCUAAUUGUUCUUUCUUGAACUGAAUUUAUAUUAGUUGGAAAAAAAAUUAAAAAAAUCGAACCAAAUUGAAUUUUUUUUGAUGCAGCACACCAUGAUAUCUAAUUAAUUUUUUCUGUUCUUAUGAAUGCUAUUGAUGGAUGAUUAGGCAGCAAUGAACUCCGAGGGAAAAGUUGGUUGGGAGGAGAUUGUUGAUUCAAAGCUCGAAGGAAAAUGUGAUUUCCAAGAGGUGAAUGAAGUGGCAGCACUUGCAUACAGAUGCAUCAACCGUUCCCCAAGGAAGCGUCCUUCGAUGAGGGACAUAGUUCAAGUAUUGACUCGGAUCCUUAAAGCAAGGCAUCAGAGGAAUCAUCACAAGAAGUCUCUUUCGGCCACAACAGAUGAAGUUGCAAUUGAUGUUGAUGAGCCAGAAAAUAAGGGUCAUGUUACUGACCACAGAAGAGAUGAAUCUAUAGAUAGUCGCCACAGAAGAGAUGAAUCUAUAGAUAGUGCAACUGACAUGUAUGAUUUGUAACAAAAAUAGCUUUAUAUUUAGUUCUUUUAUUUUCUAUUGUUUUAUUUUUAUUUAUUUUUUGGCUUUGGAUAAUGAUCUUUAUUAGACAUUAGGCUUUGAGUGAGUUAAUGAUGUUUGGCAUCAUCUUCUGUAGUUUUGUGUAACAUUCUUUUUUUUUUUUACAUUAUUUUUUACUUUAUUGUUUCAUUCUCUUGCCUUAGUUCUGUUGUCUCGCAGAACAGAAACUCCUAAAUUUGUAUAUUAUUACUUUCAUGAAUGAAAUUGAUGUGAAAAAAGGGUUACUUUCAUGCACGCAAUCUAUUUUCCGACUCAACUAACAAUCUUAAUGUCGAAAAUAAUUUUAAUCUCACUUAAAUGGAUUUGCAAAUUAUUUGAGGGAUCAUAGUUUUAAUUUCUGAAGAGUUAACUAGGAUUUCAAUUGCAAAAUUAAUCUAACUUCAUAAAUUUUAAUCUCUGUACAAGAGGAGCUCCCUGUCAACCCUACUGCCUGCGCUGCACCAGUAACGAGAAUCCGCUUAGCACAUCAUGGUAGCAUGUUCAUUUGCAGCUGACACAGAAUCUGCUUGGCAUAUCAUGGUAGUGCGUCCAUUUGCGCUGCACCAGCAACACAGAAUCCGCUUGACACAUCAUGGUAACGUGUCCAGUUGUAGCUGGCCAUGGCAGGAGACAGGUAUGUGGACUGUCCUUGACAGAUUUAUUGAUAUGAAGAUUAUUGCAAAUAUUUAUUAUUCAAAGUUGCAAAUACAAUAGAUCCAAACCAGCUAGUCAAAUGGUGUACAGAUAUGCGAAGUUUGUGGCGCUGCAGAAUUUACACUUAUGGAAGCAGUUGUUGAAGGUCUGCAGGAAUUGCAUCAGAGAGCUACGUCCUUUUUAGAACACCGGCAGCAAGUCAAUAACCAUAUAGCAGAGAAGCAGCCAGAAUGGUGAUGACAAAGACCACCGGUACGGAUGAUAAAAUGUAACAUUGAUUCAUCGUUCACGGACAACUAUGUUGGUGUAGGAAUGUGUCUAAGCGAUGAAGUAGGCAAUUUCCUGCAAGAUCGAACAGAUCACUAUUCUCCUCGCCUCCUUGUUCAUGAAGAGCACUUGGUUUGAUUGAAGCAAUCAAGUGGGUUAUAAGCUGGAGAUUGAUCAUAUAUUUUUUGAGUCGGAUUCUAAAUUGACGGUUGACAAUUUUAAUAAACCAAAUCGGGAUAUGUCCGAACUAGGUUAUAUUAUUGAUGAUUCAUGAUUGUAUAUGUUUUAUUUAAGUCCCUUUUUUGUCAAAACUCUGGUGGUGGAGUAUGUUAGGAGACAAACUAAUGUAGUGACUUAUAAGCUAGCUAGAGUAGCUACAUACAGUCAAGUCUCAAAACUUUGAUUUUAUCCCAUACUAUAUCUUGCUUGAUAAUGAUAAAAGAAAUUACUUAAGUUUGCUUGCUUCAAUUUUUUUUCUUUUUAAAAUAUAAAUUUAUCAAUUGCAAAUAUGUAUGCAACAGUGUAGAAGAAACCUCAUAACAUAUAUAUUUUUUUAAAAAUUAAUAAUGCUAAAUGUUGUUAAUAAGUCCUUUUAGAUUACUGGAUACAAAAUAAAAAAUAAAGUAUAGGAUAUAUCAAAAUAUUUAAUAAGAUGCAUUCUAUAUUUUUAAGGAUAAAACUUGGUACAUUCAUUUUCUUAGGUAUUUUUCGUAUGUUUCUUAACUAAACUAUCCAUGUUUUACUUAAAUCGAUAAUUUUUUUUUAAAGUUUGUUAUAAGAAAAAGUGUAUUUUUAAUUUAGAAUUGUACAAAAGCACAUAAGAAAAUACAUCUAAACGAGAGAAGUAUAAUUCAAGUAUCUAUUAAGAGGAGAGACAUAUAAUUUACUUUAAGUUUUUACUUCUCAAUAGUGUAAGGCAAUUACUUACCACUCUAUUUCAUCUCACAUCACCAAUCCAAACAUAGCACAAUAGUGUAAUUUACUCUAGUAUUUAUUAUUGAACAAAAAAUUAAAGAGAAAAAAAUAAUAAUAAUUGGUUCAUUCCGAAGAGAGUUACAAUUGAAAAUUGCUUCUCCAUUUCAAAAUUACUUAUUCCCUUAAUUUAGUGGGAAACUCUCGCUCGACAUUUUUCAGCGUGAGUUAACUCACACCAGCACUUUUAAGAUCGAUUGAACCGAUUUAAAAAAUGAUUGAACAGAUCUUAAAAAUGUCGGCGUGAGUUAUCCAUGAAAAAUGCCGGGAAUUAAUUCCUGCCGAGUUGAGGGAAUGAGUAAUUUUGAAAGGAAGAAGAUCAAUUUUCGUUACAAUUUGGGCUUACAAAACUAACCCACAUAAAGCCCAUGAUCCAUUUUCACACCAAAUUCUUCAAUUUUUUCUUUUAUUUUGAAAUUUUGUAUUAUCCAAAAUCAUUAUCAGAAGCAGAAGCAAAAAGAAGAAGUUACAGCAACAAAAAUGGUAGCUAUGGCUAUGGCUUCUCUUCAGAGUUCCAUGACCUCACUCUCACUCUCUUCCAACUCUUUCUUCGGCCAGCCUCUCUCUCCCAUCACUCUCUCUCCUCUUCUUCCGGUACUUCAUUCUCUUACACUCUCUCCAUUAAUUUUGCAAAUUUGCUUCUUCUUUUUGAAUUAAAGUUUCAAUUUUUAUUAUUCUAGGUACUUAUUUUCUAAUUUUAUCCACAUGGGGUUUUUGAUUUUAGUGAGUUUUAAGAGUCCAAGUUCAUGGGUAAUAGCAUUUCGUGUUUAUUUUUCUAAUUAGAAUUGUGGUGAUAUUGUUUGAAUUUAUAGUUAAUAAUUAUCAUCUUCAUAGAAUUAGUGGAUGCACUAAUCAGUUUAUAAUUCAUAAUUCUGUUCAUGUUUAUAUGGCAUGUCCUAUUCAACGUCAAUGCUUCUGAUUGAAGGUGUGUCUCGGUGUCUUAUUCAUUUUCUUAUUAGAAUAAAUUGAAUCUGCCAUUUUGUAGCAUGACCAGUGCUAUUGGAAUUGAAUGUGAAUAAGCUCAUAAGAGAUUUAGAUUUUUCACAUGACAAUUGUGUGUCUGAAUGUGUUCUUUAGACAAUCACAAAUUAAGAUAGGAUUGAAUUUGACAAAUAUAGUGCAUAUGAAGAAGGAGAUAUAACACAAUUUUCAUAUCAAUGUGAAAAUAUUGAUUAAAGGAUCCAUUUCUAACUAAUCCCUUGUAAGAAUAUAUGUGUUCUUUGAUGUGUGUUCAUUUGCUUAGUGCUUGCCUAAAAUUAUCAUUUCUAACUAAGCCCUUGUAAGAAUAAAUUUAAAUGUUAUUUGUUCAUUUCUAACUAAGCCCUUGUAAGAAUAUAUGUGUUCUAACUUAUCUUUUCUCUCUCAUGAUCUUCUCUAAAAUUUAGAGAUAGACACCAAUUAUGGAAGGAGAAGGAGAGAGUGAGUGGAAGUGGAGGAUCUGGAUCCAAAUUUUAGAGAGAAGAUCAAGAGAGAGAGAGAAAAGGUAAGAAGAUCGAGAGAGAGAGAGAGAGAGAGAGAGAGAGACACAUAUUUUGGGAGGAAGGAGAUGGAGAGUGAUUGGAUGGAGAGGAAAUAGAAGAUUUUGAUGAAUCCUCUAUUAAAAAAAAACACAAAGCUAUCCUAGUUUCGCUAUUAGAGAAAUAGCGGCCACUAUUCUAGUUUCUGCUAGCAGAUGUAGUGCAACUGUGCAAUAGAAGAAAAGUAGAAUAUUUGUUUUUUUUUUUUUUUUUUUAAAUUACAAAAUUGAAGAGUCUGCACGUGUAGCAAACAAGAACUAUUUUCAAAAUAGAAGAGUCGAAUCGCCAGAGAGUAAUACUCUCAUAUUCACUGUAAUACGUAAGCCUUUAUGUUUGUAAGCUAUGCUUUGCCUCCAUACCCUUUUUUAUUUGUACGGAACAUGUCUUUCGUUAUAUAUAAUUGACUUAAUUCAAGCCUUUCGUUAUAUAUAAUUUACUUAAUUCAACCAAUAUAGAGUCUGCUAUUUCGCAUAACAGAUUUUUGGCAUUCCACUAUUUUCUGUAAUCUGCGAUUGACAACACUACGAAAAUGCAAUAAUGCUUAAUGUUUCAUUCAAUGUAAUGUAACUACUACAUUUUGCCAGGCUGAAAUUUGACUGUUUAUAAGGAUAAAAUGAAUCUAUAUUGUUCUUCUUCUUACAGAUGCAUUUCUCAAUAGUUUAGUAUGCUAAAUCUAUAUUGUUCUUAUUGGUGAUAUGCAGGGUAAGCCGACAGAUAAGCAAUGUCGUAUUGUAAUGAAGGUAAGUAUCAAAUACUUCCCACAUCCAUGCCUAAUAUGAUUAUUCUCUUUAGUUUUUGUUAAACUAAAAUCAAAAUCAAGCAAAUGUUAACUAUAGUGAUCCGAGAGCAAAGAAAUGUUUUUUUUUCCGUCAAUGGCAUUUUCAUACUCUUGCAAAAAUGAAAACGAUACAAACCUUAUGAUUUCUUUAAUUUUAUAUUGUAAAAAAACAUAAAAAGACAUUGGUUUAUAGGUCAUGAGUCUAAAUAUAUUGUCUAACAACUAACCUUAUAAAAUGUCUUGUGUAAUAUUUGUUUUGUUUCUUUUCUUUUCUGGCAGCUUAAACGAUGGGAGCGAAAGGAAUGUAAACCAAACAGCCUUCCAGUGUUACACAAAUUGCAUGUUAAAGUUGGAGAUACUGUGAAAGUCAUAUCAGGACAUGAAAAGGGUCAAAUUGGGGAGGUUACUAAGAUCUUCAAGCACAACAGCACUAUCAUUGUCAAAGACAUAAACUUGAAGACAAAGCAUGUGAAGAGUAGACAAGAGGGAGAACCAGGGCAAAUAAAUAAGGUUAUUAUCAUUUCCCUUUACCAGAGAAAACAUUAUUAUGAAUUCUUCACUCUUAAGAGUUAGAGAAUCUCCUAUUAUAUAACAUUCUCCUUUGUUUGAGGGAACUCGAGUUCAAAUCCUGGCUGGAACAAAUUUUGGUCAAUUUUAUUUACCUCCCGACCGAAGUUUGGAUUACCAUGCCUCUUUUCUCUAGAAACUUGAGGGUUAAGACAAAAAAAAGAAGUUUAGAAACAUGCGUUGAUGUUUAUGAUUUUUGUUUUUUUUUGGUGCAUUUCUUGUCAUGGACUCUAAUACUUUUAGAAACCAUUGCCUUGAAUUUCAGAUUGAAGGUCCUAUCCACAGUUCAAAUGUGAUGCUCUACUCUAAAGAAAAGAAUGUCGUAAGCCGUGUUGGUCAUAAAGUUAUUGACAAUGGCAAAAAAGUUCGUUAUCUAAUAAAAACUGGAGAGGUAAUUGAUAGUGUAGAGAAUUGGAAGAAACUGAAGGAAGCUACUAAAAAAACUGAAGAACUUGUUGCUGCCUAGUUUUACUAUAUUAAUUCAUGCAUUCAGCAGUUAUGUAACUCAAUGUAGUUGUAUUAUUUUUUUUCCCAUUUUAUUGUUAAGUGUAUAUUAUGUUGUGUUAUUAUUCUGGUACCUAUGUUGAUCUCCAUACACAACUUGAGUAAUUGGAUUUGUUUUUUGUCCUUUGGUUUUGGUCUUUUUUAAGAGAAAAUGUUAUUGACACUACAUCCUAACAUUAAGAACUGGUUGAUAUCAACUCUCAGUUGUAGACUUCUCGGUCCAUCCGACAAUGGAUGUUUUGAAUAUCGGGAAUCUUCAAAGCACCAUUGUUGGAAUCGUAAACAAUAAACUUCAAUAUAUUACUUCUGAACUCAUACAAAUCCAUCAACAAUUGGUCAAUCUAAAAAAUAUAUAAAACCUUGCACAAACGCGGUUCUCUCAUGUUAGGAACACUAUACAAUUUAGUCCAAGAUUUUUUAUUUCCAUAUUCUUUCAUAAUUGAAACAUCCAUAGACAUACGACCACUUGCUUGCAUAGAUGCGCAAGCAAUGCUUCAACAUCCAUAAGGUCUUGAAAUCAAUCUCCAAAUAUGGCCGGCAAAUGUUUUGAUACGACUCUUUAUCCAAAUCAAGGGAAGCAAUAGCAUGCAAAGAGAACUACUCGAAACAUCAUAUGUCAACCAAUUAACGGCGCCACUCGUAAAUACUCCUAAACUACGAUUAACGCAAGAAUAUGAGCAGUUUUGUAUCUUUUUCCAAUAAUCUGUAUCCAAGGUAUGAAGAUUAGCUUCAUACUUAUGAUUAUGAAUGAAAUGAUCAUACCCCAACCCCCAAUCCCACUUCCAUUAUCAAUAAAAUACCUAUCUCACCCCCUCAAACACCAUACUGCAUACAUACAGUACCAUUAUCCCCAACUGCCCUCAACAAAAACACAAAAUCCAACAAAAAAAUAGAAAUUAAGCAUCAUGAAAUCCAAUUUUCUUGGCUUUUGGUUCAAUUAUAUAUAUGGUGCACUAAAGAAAUGAUCAAGAAACAUAUGGUGCUAGCACUAGCAACCAAUCAAUACAAGGAUUAGAAGAAAAAGUCAAUACAAUCAAUGCAUGAAAACACAGUUUUUCUUUCAUGCACUUCCAACAUUAAACUUAAAAGAUGAUGGCACAAUAUAUUUCGACAAAGAGGACACAAUAUUUUAGAAACUAUGAUUUCCCAUCAACACUUAUUUUGGCUUAACAAUUUCGAUUUACCACUUAAAAUGAGUCUAGAACUGUCUUUGAAUACAAGUGAAUGAAACCCAUUGCAAACAACUUUCCAAAUAUUAUUAAUGGUCAAUCAUAUUCCACUUUUUUUUUUUUUUUUUCAGUUGUAAUCGAUCACUCUACAUAGCAAACUUGUCUACAAAAAACUAGUCGUCAUUAAAAAUUUCUAUUGCUAGAAAUAAAAAUAAUGGUUUAGAACUCUAAAAACCCUAAAUCAUUCUAGUUUCAGAAUAGAUAAUACUAGUCCAUAACCCUAAGCACCUUCACCACGUAUAAAAGAAAGAUGAAUUGAUAAAAAAGAAGAAGAAGAUGAAGUGAUGAAAAAAAAACUAAAUCAAAAUCCCCUAAAACGUAUAAAAGAAAGAUGAAUGGAUAAAAAAAAAACUAAAUCAAAACCGCAAAAUCAUUCAAUAUACGUAAAAAAAAGUUAAAAGAUAGUAUCAUGAAGUAAACAUAUAUAUAUUUUUUUUACUGUAAAAGUAGACAUAUAUAUGUAUGGUACUGGUACAUUAACAUUUUCAUUAAUUUUUUGAGGGAAACUGGUACAUUAACAUAUAAUUAUAUUUAUAGCAACAAUAUAUAUUUUUUGAAAGAAUAUUUAGCAACAAUAUGUAUGGUACUAGUACAUGAAAAUUAAAAGCAGUUGUCAAUUUGUCAUUUAUGAAAGUCUUUUGACCAAUGUAGAUAUUUCUAUCCCCCUAUUUAGAAAGUGCAGAACUAGUACCAAAAAAUAGAGAGAACGUGAAAACAACCAGCAUUUUUUUGUUCAAUUAUAAUUGAUCAAUUACAUACCAAACUUGUGUCAUAACUAAAAUGGAACAAUGCAUAAAAGAAACUACUAAUGAUCAAGAAAAGAACCCUAAAUCAGAACAAUACAACACAUAAUACUAACUAGUCAAUAACCCUAACCACGACGUUCACCACGGAUACGGCAAGCAAGUUGAAUAUCCUUAGGCAUAAUGGUAACCCUCUUAGCAUGAAUUGCACACAAAUUGGUAUCCUCAAACAAACCAACCAAAUAUGCUUCCGCUGCUUCCUGAAGUGCGAGAACCGCAUGACUCUGGAAUCUGAAAUCCGGCUUGAGAUCAACAUGAGCAAUUUCACGAACAAGACGCUGGAAUGGAAGCUUACGGAUCAAAAGAUCGGAACUCUUCUGGUAUUUACGUAUCUCGCGAAGAGCAACUGUUCCAGGACGAAAACGACGAGGUCUCUUAAGUCCUCCCUUUGGUUUAUAAUUACGAGCAAUCUUUGUGGCGAGCACCUUCGUUGGUGCCUUGCCACCGGUGGAUUUGCGAGCAGUUUGCUUUGUACGCGCCAUUGAAUCAAAAAUAGAAGAAAACUGCUUUGGUUUUGAAAGUGUCUUGAAAGAAAAAAAUUGUAAUGAGAAUAGUGAAUGAAAUGAAACAUUUAUAUAGAAAUGGUAUGAUGAUGGUUAUAGGCGGUUUUAUUUAAAUUAGAGAGACAGUGUACGUGGAAGUUGCAUGUUUCAACGGUUUUGUGCUUCAACGUGGAUUGCCAAGGAAGGUGGCUGAUAUGUCUUUUAGAUAUUUAAAUUGAAUCUACCAUUUUGUAGCAUGACCGGUGCAAUUUGAAAAUGAGUAUAAAAAAUAUUGUGAAAGAAAAUGAAGAAAGAUACUUGUGACAUUGAAGUUGGUCAAUGUCACCAACCACGAUGUCACCAAAGUAUUAUCGUGUUCUGAACAUAUAUCUUAAAUUUCAACUUUCAUAUGUGUUUUAUAGAUAAUCAUUGAAUUGGAUAGGAUUGAUAUUUUUUUCACAUGUGUUCUAUGAAAGUCUCUAAUAGAAGGAUCCAUAAUUUUUUUUUUAAAGAAUAUAUAUUUAUUUUAGCAACAUCAAAUUUUAAAUUUAGAUGAUUAUUUAAACUAAAAUAAAAUUGGGUUAGAUGAGAAUAUUAUUAGUACAAUUGAGACUAAUGAUCAUUUUACAACGGUUUUAGAUCAGGUUAAAACGUUCAUUGAAGUUAGAAAAUCAUGCUCCUACGGUUGAAGUGACACCUCUCAAACCAAAUCAUCAUGUAAAAGAUUUGUAAUCAUUCUAUGUACAUAUACAACCAUUAAUAUAAUCACAAAUUGUAAUAAGAAAUAUAUUAUACGAAAGAAGAACAAUAAAUAUAUCACUACAAAAAAUCAACCUUUUAGAGACCGAAUAUUCAGUCGCUACAUCAGCAAAAUUAGUCACUGAUCGAUUUAGUGACUAAAAUAACGACAGAAAGUAAGAGUGGCUAAAUCGCUGGUCGCUAAUUAUUUGCGACUGGCCUAGCGACUGAUUUUUCGCGACUACAUGUAGAUAUUGAUUUUGUCAAAGAAUUUUGAGACAGAAUUAGAGACUGAUAUAGAGACGCUUUGGGAGACUGAUUCAGAGACGAAAUGUGGACACCGAUUUGGUUGAAACAGCCAAUUCAGUGACUUAUUUUGUGACUAGUACACACGAUCAAAAGUCUUGUCUCACCUAACCUAGAACAUCUGCUACUACUUCAUCACAUGAAACAUCUCAAGUUGCAUCCCUUCCAAGUACAUCUUAUGUAACACCUCCACCUUCCAUUAGAGGUGUAGAUUACACCAUCAGUUCCACAACCAUGUCAUUUAAAGGAACCUACCACAAGAACUGUUGUAUUUUUGAGUUGAUAUUAUAUUUUAAAAGUUAUUAAAAGUUGUUUAUUAUUUGUUGUUGAUUUAACCAUGUGAUAUUUACUUAGUCAAAGCCUUAUUUGUAUAACCGUUGGGUCAAAUGCUAAAAACUCAUUCCCUAUUGUUAUGCCUCAUUUCCCUUAAUAUAAGGAACAACGUACCACAACUCUCAUGUAUAUAUUUUUUAUAAUCUUGAGGAUUUUAUUUUUUAAUGAAAUCUGUUUGGGUUGUGCCGCGACAGAUUUUGAUCAAAGCACGUAAAAUUAAAUGGUGUGAGAUUAUUGAUUAUGUUGUCUGGAAAGGGAUUGGUCAUAAUUGUCGUUUCUUGGAGUGAGGUGGUCCAUUCGGCAAAAUACGAUCGAUGGUUAAUUUUUGUUGAUGUAAGAAAAAGGCUCGCAGGUUCCUCUUCAAUGAAAGCAUUCCAUUGAGUUUGAUGAUGGUAAGCGUACCAAUGAAAUCGAUGAGAUUACUCAACCUAUUGUUGAUGACAAUGGCAAGGUACAUUUACUAACUAUAGAUUUACAUUGGGAUAUAUAUCUUUAAAUGUGUGACUUUUUAAAUUGUUUGUGCCCCUCCCUCUGUAACUUAUAAUAUUUGGAUAUGUAUGUCAUAAUGCAUAGAUUCAAUUUUGAGUUGGUAAGAGAAAAGUUAACUUUGAUAGUUUGGAAUGAUCUGCAUAAUUAUUAUCUUAAAUGGUUAGAGUGAAAUAUCAAUUGAGAUUUUAUAUAUUAUUAGUUUUGUAUACACCUAUCAAUUUUUUGGAUUAAUUUGGCCUAUUAUUGUUACUAUUGCCUAUUAAUAUUAUAAUCCUGAGAUGAGUUUUUUUGUUUAUUGUGCCAGCAUCUGGUGUAUGUAUUAAUCUAACAUAAGUGAUUAGAAUUUUUUUUGUAAAAUAGAAGAAUUCUUAUUUUGUGUUAUACAUAAAUACUCCUAUAAAUUAUAAAAGUAGUGAUACAUAUAUUGAAAUGCAGUUUUGUUAGAUUAGAAACUUUUAUGAAAGCUCUUUUGUAGUGCAUCUUUAGUUUUUGUAGUGCUUAUUAUGUUGGUUUUAUUAUGUUUCUAGUUAGUUUGACAUAUCAAUUAAUCUUAUCUUUUGUUAACAGAAUGAAUUUACACACAAAUGGGAUACUUUGACACAAGAAGCAUCUUCGCAAGGAAUGCCUCCACCAAAUCAGCUAGAGGUGUGGUUUGAUGUUGCAGAAAUAAAGAAAGGAUAAUAUAUGGUCUUGGAAUGGGAUCCUCUGUACUAGCAAGACGUCCAAAUUAUCAUGGCUCUGGUUCUUCUUCAUCCGAGUGGGUGCAAAGGCACGAGCUUGAACAAAUGAGAAAUGAAAGAGAUCAACUUCAGGAAGAAUUGGCAAAAACGAAUAAGGUCGUUGAACACCAAUAUCAAUUGAUAAAACAAAUGAUGGAAACCAUGAUCCUUCCAACCCAUCCAACAUUCUAUAGACCAAGCCAAUGAGGAAGACCAAACUAAUGAUAAUGUGGUUGAUGACAAGUUAGAUUUGGAAGCACAAAAUGUUCCUGAAUAGAUAAUUUGAUGUGUUUUGUUAAUUCAUAAAUCUCUUUGGAUUAGUAUUUUGUUAAGCCUACCACUUUCAACUUUCUGUUGGUUAGUAUUAUGUAUUUGAAAUUGUAUUUCAAAUAAAUAGAAAUCAUGUAAUGUUUCUUUGAGAGAAAAAAUAUAUAAUGUUUAUUAUAAUGGUACGAGCUUAAGAGUGUUGAACCAAGAUGAGUUUUAGAACAAUAUCUCUAAGAUUUUGAUGAUAACUAUGUACAAAUUGGACAAACCUCUUUGAAAGACAAAGUGAGUACAACAUAUCAUUCCCAAAGAAGUAAAGGAAUUUCGAAGUACUAUUUAACAUAAUUAUCCUUAAUAGGAAAAGAUUUGAAAUCUAAAGAAAACUUCUCAAGGAAGCUUGAUGUGCAGACACUCUCUUAAAAAAUUGACUUAAUUCUGAUCUCCUAUAAAAUGAUCCUGAGUGUUUGAAUAAAUAUAUAGAAUAACACGCUUUCAAUUGUGCCAAAAUUCUGAUAAUUUCCUUAUGUUUUUGUUUUCCAGGCGCUAGAACAAUUUGAAAAUCUAAUUAUUUUUUAUUUUUUUAGUAAAUAUUUUUUAAUUAUGUUUCCUUCCGAAGUUUUUUCUCAAAGAGAUUUUCUCUCCAUGUUUACCAUUGCGAUAAAAAAAAAUUGUUAGUAGUUUUUUCCAUUUUUUUUUACUAAUUGACUAAUUAUGUUUAAAAUAAUUAAAACAUAUUGAAUGCACUGUUACAUAUUUUUUUGGCUGAAAAUUACUAUGAGAAUUAAUAUUCCACAUUGUGCAUAUAUUUUUGAAAACAUAUUUUGCAACAUUAGAAUAUAAUUAUUAUAUUCUAUGUCAACUUGUGAGGAGGCAAGCCAUCUCAAAUCCCUUGUGAGGGAUUACGAUGUCAACUUGUUCAAAGAAGAAAACUAUAAUAGAGAUCCAAUUAUUUCUUGGACUACUUAUCCUACCAUAGUUGAGAACCAUCAAACUAUUUAAGUGUGAAUAUUCAUUUUAGUGAGUGUAAGGAAGCUUUGUUUAAUAUGAAUCCUCAUAAGACGCCCGGAGAAGACGGGUACCCUGCUCUUUUCUUCUAAUAAUGUUGGAACACUAUUUCUGAGUCAUUGUACCAGUAUGUGAACCAUGUUUUGGUUAAUCCUUUUCUUAUCUCUUACAUUAAUAAUACUCUUGUAGUGAUGAUUUCUAAAAUUGAGCCGUUGCUUGAUGGUAUUAUUUCUCCAUACCAGUCUAAUUUUAUUCCAUGAGAGAAGUAAACACCAUAUAUUAUUGUUUCUCAGAAAAUGGUUCACUCCAUGACUAAGAUGAAAAGAAGCAAUAUGUUCUUGUGGAGAUUAUGAUCACAGCAAUUGGAAAUUUGUGGAGAACUAUUUGGAGGAGUGUAAAUUCCCCCUAAUCUCAUUCAAACAAUCCAUCAUUGCAUAUCUUUUCCUAACUACAAAAUUAUGUGGAAUGGGGAUCAAACUGACACUUUCAUCCCCACUAGAGGAAUUCAUUAAGGAGACCCUCUCUCCCCUUAUUUUUGUUAUUCGUAUAGAGAUAUUAUCCAUAUAAUUCUUGAUCAGGUGGAAGUUCAAUAUUGGAAGCGAAUGCAUGCAGUUAGUUCUGGUCCUCAAAUUUCUCAUCUUCUUUUUGUUGACGAUCUUCUUCUUUUUAUAGAGGCCUCAAUUGAGCAAGCACAUUUCAUUACUUGGGUAUGUUUUAUUAAUCCUCGGGACAACGUAUUAACAAUCAAAAGAUCUAAAAAAAAAUUCUCUAAAAAUGUGGAUAACCAGCUUCAUCAAGACAUUUGACAGCAUACGAGUUUCACUCAGGCCAAUAGCUUGGACAGAUACCUUGGAGCUAACAUAUGUCCUGGAAGAACUACAAGAGUUCAUUUUUGCCACAUCAUCAACAAAAUUCAAAAUAGAUUAAGUGGGUGCAAGAAACAAAUGCUUGAGUAUUGCAGGAAGGAUUACCUUUUCUAAGUCCGUCCUUAUCUCUAUCCCUUACUAUCAUAUGCAUCAUGUUAAAAUUUCCAAAAUUCUUUGUGAUGAGAUGGAAAAACUGCACAAAAGCUUUGUGUGGGGAGAUACUGACCAAAGUUGUAAAUCACAUUUAAUCAAUUGGGAGACUUGCUGUUUACUGAAGGCUGGGGCUGGGAUUGGUUUUAAGAGGCCUCUGCUGAUGAAUGAAGAUUACCUCAUGAAGAUUCUUUUGAACCUUAUUAACAAGCCUAAUGACCUCUGGUGCAGGGUUCUUUAUAACAAGUAUGGAAAAAUAAUGAUUUGCGUACAUCUAUAACCUCUCAACCUUAUGACUUACCUUUGUGAAAAACUCUUUGUAAACUGCGGGAUGAUUUUAAAAGCAACAUUAUUUGGCAAAUAGGAAAUGCAAACGUCAAUUUUUGGUUGAAUAAAUGGUUACUCCUUCACGACUAUUUCAUAUUUGGACACUACUCUUCAUGUCAAGGAUAUGGUUACUCCUUUAGGAAAUUGGGAUCAAAAUUUUCUUUUUGAUAAUCUGCCAAACAACAUAGUUGAAUAGGUUUUAGCUCACCCCGCUCCUUCUUAAUGGUGAUAGUCGAGAUACUUUUGGUUGGGGAGGUACAAAUACGUGCCAGUUCUCGGUUAAAAGUUUGUAUAAUCUACAAUACGAGAAUCAUAAUAUUUUUGAAGGGGACUAGAGAAUUUUGUGAAACUGGAGGGGAACACAUCGUAUCCAAUCUUUCAUCUGGUUGGUAGCUCAUGAUCGUAUUUUAACAAAUUACCGCCGAAGUAGGUGGGGCAUGGACAUAUCCCCUACUUGUCCAUGUUGUAGGAUAGAGGAAGAGACUACUCUUGAUAAGCUCAGAGACUACAUUUAUAUAACUAAUGUAUGGACCAAACUUGUUCUUUCUGAUCGGAUAACUGACUUCUUUGCUUUUGAUUGAAGGAACUGGGAUUUUAGUAACUUCAACAAGCGUUGGAAUGACGUUCCUAACUCUAUGUGGAAGACAACUUUCAUGACUACAUUUUGCUAUUAGAGUUUUUUUUAAUAAUAUUGCUUUUAUGGUGCAAUAGUAUACUUCUCUUAAUAAUGGAAAAAAUUAUUAAAAAAAUUAACAAAGCAUGCCAAGAUCAUGAAAUCUCCUAAUAAUAUUACUUUUAUGGUGCAAUAGUAUACUUCUUUUAAAAUAUUAAAAAUAUAUGCCUUCAAAUUUCACAUGGUAUUUGAUCUGUGCAUGAUAAUACGAGCCAAAUGGAGUGGAUUCUAAGAUUUUGUGUUGUUGUUGACGAUGGUUGUUCUUUACCUGCACAUGGUGGUCUACCUGCAAAGACACUUUGACGUUUAAGUUAGCAAGGUCUCUAGAUGUUUUGAGGUUUAUCUCGAAAUGAAAAUGUGUAUCUUAUUUUGCAUUUGGUUGCUCUAUUUAUCUAUUCCUACGUGUUACACAAGUGUGAGUUAUGUUAUGGUUGCAACCUUAAGGGGCAAAGGCCGGAAGACCGCGUGAUCAUUUUGAGGGCAUGUAUGUGCUCAAGGCACCUUAUUUAGUGUAUUUGAAUGCCUUAUUAAGUCUUAACACUAACAUAUUGAAGGGAGAAUUGUUUCUAAAUCAAGAGUGUUAUAUGAUUAAAGCUUGGUUUAAGGUUUAAGAUGCAUGGAGAUAAACAAGUUUCAAAAUCCUAAGUCUAAGGGCCUUAGACAACAUGACAAACUAUGUAUUUGUUUACUACAAGAUGAGAACAAUUCCAUAUUCAAAUAUUGGUUGCAACGUCAUGCAUAGAGUGGUAUGCAGUUGACCUGACUUAGCUUGUGUUUUGAACAUUGGUUAGUAGAUUAAUAUUUAUGGAAAAUCCAAGACUAUCUCAUAAGACAUCAUUGAAGUGCAUCUUAAGGUAUCUUAAUGGUACUUUAUCUUCUGGUUUAAAUUAAUUUUAACAAUAUGAAGUUUCAAUAAAGAGAGGCAAAAUUAUGAAUUCCCAAGAACUGAAAUGAGAAUGAACUUAAAGGUGCAUAAUUGUAAUAACUAAACAUAAAUAAAUAGUAAUACAGAGAAAAUGGUACAAGAUUGAUAAGGAAAAAAUGAAGGGGGUGACACCACACUCAAAAGAUUCUAGGGAGAAAAUGAAUGAUAAAACUUGAAGAUGAAAGGGAAGAGUCUAUAUAUACUAGACCAAAAUAGAUACAUAAUCUCACAAUGCAAAAAGUGUAAUUUUUAACCAAAAUAUUAAGCUUUGCCUGUGCCAUAACUUAUUUAUAAGUGAAGAAAAGACAAUCUAUUAAAUUAGAAAUAUGCAUAAAAUACAUAACAAACUUAAAUUAACCAUGUUGCAAUUGAGUGUCAUGCUCAAGUGACGAAGUAUCGAAUCUACAUCCUAACAUUAAAAAUAAGGUUAUAUGAAACUCUCAAUGUAUACUUCUCGGUCCAUCCAACAAUGGAUGUUUUGAAUCUCAGGAAUCUUCAAAAUACAAUUUCUAAAAACGUAAACAACUAACUUGAAUAUAUUACUUCUGAACUCAUACAAGCCCAUCAACAAUUGGUCAACCUCAUAAAUAUAUAAAUUCCUUCCACAAACCCGGUUCUCUCAUGUUAGAAACACUAUACAAUUUAGUUGAAUACUUUUUAUUUCCAUAUUCCUCCAUAACCCAAACAUCCAUACACACAUCACCACUUGCAUAGAUGCUCAAGCAAUGCUUCAACACUCAUAAAGGUCCUGAAAUCAAUCUCCAAAUAGGGCUGGGAAAGCUUUUGAUAUGACUCCUUAUCCAACUCAUGAGAAAAAAUAGGACGCUCAUAGAAUUAUAUGUCAACCAAUUAACGGUGCCAGUCACAAUUACGACAAACACAAAAUAUAGGCAGUCUUGUAUCUUUCUCUAAUAAUCCGUACCCAAAGUUUGAAAAUUCACUUCAUUACUUUUGCCAUCAAUAAAGAAAGAAAUAAGCGUGCAUUUCGGCGUCGGAGAGGUUCUUAAAAUUAAAGACAACGUUUUUUUUUUCCUUUCAAACUCUUCACUGGGCUGGGGCUACGGUUCUUAUGCAUAUGUAAGCCCUUAUGGUGGUAUUUUAUACAAUUUUGAUAGUUAUUUGUUUUCCUCCUUAUAAGAAGGUGGUGAUGAAAUUGUACACAACCCACGACAAUUUCCAUAAAAUAUAAUUAACAUUUUUUUUUUGAAAGAAGCAACAAUAUGUAUGGUACUAGUACAUGAAAAUAUAAUUAAAAGCAGUUGUCAAUUUGACAUUUAUGAAAGUCUUUUGACCAAUGUAGAUUUGAAAGUUUCUAUUUCCCUAUUUAGAAAGUGCAGAACCAGAGUAUUUCAGUCGAUAGAGAGAAAACGAAAACAACAAGCUUUUUUUUUUUGUUCAAUUGUAAUUGAUUAAUUACAUACCAAACUUUGUCAUAAUUAAUAUGAACAAUGCAUAAAAGAAACUACUAAUGGUAAAGAAAAGAACCCUAAAUCAGAACAAUACAACACAUAAAAGAAACUUGAAUUGAUAAAAACAAACCCUAAAUCAUACCAAUACUAGAAUACUAACUAACUAAUCCAUAGCCCUAAGCACGUUCACCACGGAUACGGCGAGCAAGUUGAAUAUCCUUAGGCAUAAUGGUAACCCUCUUAGCAUGAAUUGCACACAAAUUGGUAUCCUCAAACAAACCAACCAAAUAUGCUUCCGCUGCUUCCUGAAGUGCGAGAACCGCAUGGCUCUGGAAUCGUAAAUCCGUCUUGAAAUCCUGAGCAAUUUCACGAACAAGACGCUGGAAUGGAAGUUUACGGAUCAAAAGUUCGGUACUCUUCUGAUACUUACGUAUCUCACGAAGAGCAACUGUUCCGCAACGAAAACGAUGAGGCUUCUUGACGUGGCCUUCCCUCAUUUUUCUCAUAGAUUUUCCGCCUCCUUUUGCUCUUGGAGCACGAGCAACCUUUGUGGCGAGUUCCUUCCUUGGUGCCUUGCCACCGGUGGAUUUGCGAGCAGUUUGCUUUGUACGCGCCAUUGAAUCGAAAAUAGAAGAAAACUGCUUUGGUUUUGAAAGUGUCUUGAAAGGAAAAAAUUGUAAUAAGAAUUGUGAAUGAAAUGAAAGAUUUAUAUAGGAGUGGAAUGAUGACGGUUAUAGGCAGUUUUAUUUGAAUUUGAGAUAUCGUGUACGUGGAAGUUGCAUGCUUUAACGGUUUUAUGUUUCAACGUGGAUUUGCUAAGGUGUUCUAAUUAUUUGUGUUCUCGUGUUGAUGAUUAACUCAUCUUUAAUUUUUUUUGCAUUUUUUUUUUCUUCUCUGGCAGUUUAGGCAGUUUACACCUUCUUUAAUUUUUUUUUUGGUUACAGCACCUUCUUUAGUUUAAUAUUGUAAAACAACAUAAGAAGACAUGUUUUUUUUUAACAUCAAAUUUUAUUAAUAACCAAAGUCCGGGGUAUAAUAUGAACAAGAACGACAAACAGAAACUACGAAAAAAAGACGCGUUAUAUGGACGGAACAUCCAAAAGAAAACCAUAACAACACCAAUAUAAACACCACCUAAAUUGAGGGCUAUCACCAACACUAGAGGUUUUUAAAAUUGAACCAAUCUAAUAAAAAAACCGCAAACCGAACCAAUUGAAACCGCAUUUAGUUUGAAUGUAUUUAGAUAACUUUUUGACUCAACCACACGAUUUGGUUAUUUUGUGGUUUUUAUUUUAACAAUCGAAUUAAACAUUAAACUGCAACAUAAAAGAGAAAUAUUAAUUAAACUUAUUUCAUCCAUUUCAAUACAUGUAGAAACUUAAUGUGAACUUGUAUAGAAUGACAUAUUUUUUCUCUUGUUAAGUUUCUUCUUUGUUUUUAUUUCAAAAAUGUACUUAUGUGCUUUAGUUUGAUGCUACAAUUGCACUUUUGGAGAUAUGUUUAUGUUAGAGAUAUAUUAAAUCAUAUAAUUUCAAUGAGAACUUUUCGAAAAUGAUAAAAUCUUAGUCUUUUGUAUUUCUUAUCGGGAUUACUUUUUGGUCUAUAUUUUUUAUUUUUAUCUAUGUUGAUAAUGAAAUUGCAUGUUAGAUGAAAUUUGAAACGUUACUGGAAACAAAUUGUUUUUAACUUUAUUUUAAUUUUGUAAAUAAAAAAAUUGUUGUGUUAUACAGAACUGCAAUAAACGAAUUAAUCCAAGCCAAUGCCGCAUUGAUUUAGUUUGAUUUGAUUUUUAUUGUAAAAGCCCGCAAAACCAAAUUAAAUGACAUGUUUUUUAUCUUACCGUUAGGAUGAAUUUUAGUCCGAAAAUCGAACCAAUAUGCAUUGCGAACGACCCUAACCUAAUAAGAAAUCUAACCACUUAAAUCAAAGUCAACACUUAAAUCAAAGUCAACAUUAAUAAGAGUAGUUUUGAUCAAAAUAGUGAAGAUGGUAGACAAAAAAUGUAAAUAUAUUAAACGUGAUGAUCGAAAUGUUGUUAAGUCCAUAGUUAAAAUACAUAGUUAAAAUACAAAUAUUAUUAUAAUAUUUUUAUUAUAACUCAGCAGAUUCCCACUUUUUGAUAUUUUCAUGCUAAUAUACUUGUACAUCCGAUAUUUUAGAUUUGUCAUAUUUCAUACCCAUAACGUUCUCAUAGCUAUGCAUCUUUGAUAAUUCUUUUUAAAAUUAUUAUUAAUGGUAAACCAUAGUCCCCAUUUUUUUGAUAAUUCUUUUUAAAAUUAUUAUUAAUGGUAAACCAUAGUCCCCAUUUUUUUUUCAGUUGUAAUCGAUCAGUGACAUCCAAAAAUUGUCCACAAAAAUACUAGUCAUAAUAUAAAUUGUUAUAAAACUCUUUAAAUAAGAACAUGAAUAUAGAGAAAUAGAGAAGAAGAGAGAGAACAUAGAUUAUUCUAUUAUUAUCUUAAAUGUACAUAUUUAUGUUACGCGUGAGUUCUAUUUAUAGAUAAAUAUAAUGAUGUGAUAUAUGUUAAUAGUUUGCCCAAUAAUCCAGUAACUAAUGAACAUUCACUUAUUUACAAUAUUCAUAACACCCUCCUUUGGAUGUCCAUAGAAGAAUAUGCCCCAUUAAAACGUUACCAGAAAAAUAUAGUGGAAAAAAAAUUCUAUUGAAGGAAAAAGGGUACAACAUCCUAUUAUGUGAUAAUCAACCUUAUUAAAAACCUACCAGAAAAACCCAAUGAGAUAAAACUAUGGUUAAGGGAAAAAAAAAGUGUAGAACACAUUAUCACCCUCGUAAAGACAAUUAUAUACGAGAUGAAGAAUGUCAAUUAAUCUUUUGUAUAGUUACUCAAAAACUUUACUUGGCGAUGACUUUGUAGAAAUAUUUGGUGCGAGAUCCCUUUAAGAAAACCUUGUACGUGUAAAAUCAUAAUCCUUAAUAAUAGAACAUUCUUUACUUCCUUGAUGUAGUGCUAACAUUUACAAAUGAUCAGAUGAUAUUGUAGUUUCUCUAAGAUACAAGUUGUAUGCUUGAUUUUGUUUGAAUAUUUGUGUUUAGUAAUAUUGACAAAAAUAACCAUUGCAAAGUUUCCUGAGGCCUAUUGAAUCUCCAUUCUUGGUCUUCCUAAAGUCUUCACAAAUCUUCGGAUGUUCUUGAUUUGUCGAUUUGCAUGAUUUCUUUGUGAAUUACUUCAAAACCCCCCUAAAAUUGCUAAGUUUCGGGAAAACUAGAAUUACAUACUCAAAUAUAUAAAACAUUACAAAAGUCCCAAAAUCAUAGGCAUUCGUUCUAAUACUCCUCCUAUUUUCUAUUAAAACCUACUGAAAAUAACUAAAAAAACAUGCUAAGAAUAACGUAAGAUGACCUGUAAUCAGACUCCAACAUCUUAAAUGAGUAGAGUUGUUGCAUUUGGAAUUGCCUAUGAGCCAAAGGCUUUGUCAUAUACAAAGACUCCAACUUUGACCACAUCGAUGCCGCGGUUGGUUCCUUUGCUACAUCUCUAAAAAAUUUAUCCCCGAGGAACAAGACAAUGGCGCUUCUGGUCUUGUCCAUCAUCUCGGUCUUCUCAGUUUGUGACUGGUAACGCACCUUCACCCGUCAAAGCUUGUGCACACUUUUGUUGUAUCAAAACCGCUUCCAUCUUGACCUUCCAUAACUAAAAUAGUUACUUCCGGUGAACUUAUGAAUAUCCCACUUUGAACCUAUGGUACCUGAUUAUUGAUUUGAUAUGUGCCCCACGGUGGGCGCCAAUUGUUGUGAAUUCGUUAAAAAUCACACCAAUAAAAUACUUGACGUGUGGAACAAAUUAAUCAAGCAACCAAAAGAACGUGGGUGACAAUUACAAACACAAGGAAAAGAUAGAACAACAAAGGAGAAAUAGAGAGAGAACACAAAAAUUUGUUUACCUAGUUCGAUCCAAUGCUGACCUAGUCUGGGGGAGAGAGCAGCUCUUUGUUCCACUAUAAAAAGGUUAUAAGAAUUAGUCUUCAAACCUAAUUCUACCCAAAGUCCCGAAUCUUUCCCGAGACCAAGAGACUCCAUCCUAAUAGUGUUUCUCCAAGGUGAAUCAAUGAUUAUUCAAUCUCAACCCUAAUGUUUGUUGCCAAGAGAAAAACUCUACAAUCCCAAGUUUUAGUGUUGGCUUCUAAACCCUUGUUUUUUUUUUGGUAGAUAAACCCGUGUUUUUCUACUCUCUCUCAAUAUUUCAUAUGAUACAAGAUUUGUAUUAAUAGAGAAAUAUAAUGCAUAAUUAAUUUGGAACAGAUAUCACAUUGAAGAUACUUUUUUUUCUCCUUCAGUGAAAGAAUAUUUGCAUCAAAUAUUCCCUUUCAAAAUAUAUUUGCAUCAAAUUUUCCUUUAUAUGGUACAAAAAUAUAUUUUCAGCACAAAAUAUAUUUAGAACAAAUCUUUUAUAUUUUUAGCAACAAUAUUCUUCAUCCAUCAAAUUUUGAGUCAUACACAAUAAUAGACAUGUCUGUUUCUUGUCCAUGUUUUUGUUUGUGCUUUAUAGAAUGGAAUGCUUGGACUUAGAGCAUGUUAUAGUGAGGAAUCGAUAGAAAUAAAAUUUGGUUCUGUAUUUAUCAUCGUUUAAAUUUAAUGUGUGAGAAGUAAUUUCGAAAAUGCUUGAUCAAAAAGCUGCAGCAUUGUUAUUACAGACUCAUAAGCUUGAAGCACUUCAUGAACUUAAAUCAGGAAAAAUUUCGAUAUUACUAGAAACAAUUGAUAUUCCUACAGCUGACCUUGUUAUCAAUUAUGAUUUUCCAAGGUUUUUUUUUCUUGAGCAACAAAUUUUAUUAAGAAAACUUGGUCCCUGCACAAGACGAACAGAAACCGAUAAUCCAUAAACUACAAGACAAAGGUGUCGUAUAUAGAAGGAACACAAAAAAAAAAACACAAAAAAGACGGCAAAACCCCAUGACCUAACCAAGACAUACCAUUACUUUUUUUUUUUCAUUAUUUCUAUUAGCGAAAAGACGGACACUCACGUACUCGUCUUUCCGCUCUUUUUACUGCGCUAAAAUUUGUAAAUUAUGAACUAUGUUUUUUUUUUUUUAUGAAAUUUUGAUUUUGAUUAAAACUAAAAAUAUAAAUGUUUGUUGCUUUCUAGUUAUAACAAACCAAAUUAAACAUGACUAUCUAUUUCAAUAACACCAAAAACAAUUUUUACUAAUAAUAACAUUUUUUUUUUUUUUUACAAAAGCAUCUAGUAGUGUUGUUUUUAGGAAUAGUAUAUGGUAUUAUUGAUCAACAAAAAUAUGUAAAUCUAAUAAUGUAUUAUAAAAAAACUAUCCUACCCAAUGACAACAUAUUCAAAAGAUCAAUCGCACCAUUCACUAGCCGACAUGAAUUAAAGUCAGACCAAAGUUUGCAUAAGGACAAAAGGUAAGGUAGAGAAAAUAGAGAAACUCUCUAAUAUUCUCAAAGAAAGAUAUUAUUUGAAUGCUUGAAUUCUUCAAUGCCUAAACACUUGAUGGUGAGCCUUAUUUAUACUAAUCUUAGGAAGGCUCUACAUUACAAACUAGAAAUAUCUAGAAACAUUGAUUACAAAGAAAAGUCUAGAGACAUGAAUACUCUAGUUCAUAUGACUAGAAGGAUCUAGAAAAGUUAAGAUUUCUCUAGUGCGUAAUUUUAUUUUAUUUAGUAGAGUGUCCAGUAGCUUCCUCGUUAUUCUUUAGUAUUUUAGAGACUUCCAUAUUAUUCUUUAGUGUUCUAGAGACUUCCACAUUAUUCUUCAUCAUUCUCCCCAGGUUGGAGAAGACUCGUCCUCUUGUCGAAAGUAUUCUUCAUCGCCAAAGUAUGGUGAAAGAUCAGUAACAUUGAAGGUAGCUUCUAUGAAAAACCUAACACAAGAAUUGUUUGGCACAUGAGAUUUAAAUUUGUGAGCUAAUAUUAUUAUUAUAUUUUGACAAGGAGACCUAAUACUUUUUUGCAGAUAGAUGAAAUGAUAAUGAUCAUCGAAAACUUACGCACUAUUUUUAUCGAAAAGAGUAAAGAGACCUAAUAUUUUUUUUGAAGGAAAAAGUAAAGAGACCUAAUAUUGUUAAAUGGGUCUAAAAACAAUUGAAAACUUUAAAUGAAAAUAGAUCACAUCUUCUAAAAGUAAAUGGACAAUUACUGAUCACUUUCUAUGCUUAAAAAUUGAGCUUUCAUGCAUUGAUUUUUUCUAUUAAUUCUCAUUUUGACUGGUUUUUACACCAUUGCUACCAAUGGUUUCUUGAACAUUUAUUAUCUGUCCUACCAAUGCUAACAUAGAUAAUGGAACCAAAAUCCAAAAAAAAUGGAUUUCAUGGUGCUUGAUUUCUAUUUUUUGUUGUAUGCUGUUGACGGAAGUUGCGGAUCUAGAAAUUUAUUGUAAAUAUACUAAAACAAGAUGAUGAAAAAUUGAAAUUUAUUCUCAAAAUUGACGUGUUGAAACUUGAAAGGCACCGAGUUCUGAUAUUUAAGAUGAAGACAGUAGUAAUCGUUGUUAUCAAAAACCCGACUUAAGUCUUAAAAUCCUGGUUUUUGCGACUUUGUGUAGCAUCAACGACUCAAAUCCAUAGCAAAGUUUCAAAAACAGGCAAAAUCCUAUCAAAAUCGCACAAAAUCGUGGAAUUCAUUCAAAAUCGCAGGAUUUUGAUGGAUUUUGUUCAUUUUUUUUAUAUGGGUCAAUUUUUGACAUGGUUCGUAAAUUGACCCGAUUUGAAUCCAUGACCCGUUCUAUAAAUACCCGAAAGGCCAAAAAAAUUCAUUCAUUCACUUCCCCCACAUUUAUGUAUAUGUAUUUUGUGGACUUUGAACUUUAGUCAUUUAUGACUAUGCAAUUUAUAACAUAUAUUUAACAUUAUUUUUGUUUUGGUAGAAUCCUCGAUUUUGAUUGCGAUUUUACGAGUCCCGAUUUUGCUAUCCUACAUCGAUUCUACAAAAGUCCAUGAGUAAAAUCCUUCAAUUUUGAUUGCGAUUUUAUGAGUCCCGAUUUUGCUACUCCCUUUCCCUUGUAGUAAUAGCUUUGAAGAAUGAACGAACGGUGAUGAUACAUAUUUUCCCUAAAAUCCCAAUCAUGUGUCCAAAAUUGUGUAACUUUGAGUCAAGUUAUGCAAAAACAAUAAUUUGAUUCUUGCUAUUUUGCAAAGGCAUAGUUUGGACUCUUUAAUGGUGACGAUGUAUCAUAUAUUAAAUGAAAUGAUUUAGGAUUCUGAUAUUUGAUUUUCAUUGAUUACCUCUUUUGUUAGAAAUUAUGUUUUUGACAUGAAAAUAUUGAAUAGAAAGAAAAUGAGGAGUUUUAUGGGUGAAGCUUAUCCAUCUAGUGAUUGAAUUGCAAAUCGGAUUUAAUUCUAUUGUCUCUUCUUGUUUGUAGUUUUCAAUGCUAAGAAGGUUACAUAAAGAAAUAUGAUGGCUUUGAGGGGAGAGCACAAAAUCCUAAAAACAGAAACUGAAAAUGCUAGAGAAGAAGAGAAAAAUAAGUAAAUAAUUUGCAGAGAAAGGAAAAACAUAGUAAAAUUAUUUAAGUGGAAUAAUUUGCAGAGAAAGGAAAAACUGAUAAGAAUAUGUAACCCUAAACAUGAUCACCAUGGUUACGGAAGCAUAAAAGAUAACUGAUAAAAAAAAAAAACUAAAUCAAAACCCUGAAAUCAUUCCAAUACCAGAAUAGUAACUAGUCUAUAACCCUAAGCUCGUUCACCACGGAUACGACGAGCAAGUUGAAUAUCCUUCACCAUAACGGUGAUCCUCUUAGCAUGAAUUGCACACAAAUUGGUAUCCUCAAACAAACCAACCAAAUAAGCUUCCACUGCUUCCUGAAGUGCGAGAACUGCAUGGCUCUGGAAUCUCAAAUCUGUCUUGAAAUUCUGAGCAAUUUCACGAACAAGACGCUGGAAUGGAAGUUUACGAAUCAAAAGUUCGGUACCCUUCUGAUACUUACGUAUCUCACGAAGAGCAACUGUUCCAGGACGAUAACGAUGAGGCUUCUUGAUUCCGCCGGUUGUUGGCACAGAUUUUCGAGCAGCCUUUGUGGCGAGUUGCUUCCUUGGUGCCUUACCAAGGGUGGAUCUGCGAGCAGUUUGCUUUGUACGCGCCAUUGAAUCGAAAAAAGAAGAAGACUAUUUUGAAAGAAGAAAGGAUUGAAGAUUGUGUAUGAAAGGAAGUGUUUAUAUAGGAGUGGAGAAAAUAGGAUUAGGUCGGUUUAAUUGAGAUUAGAGAGAUCUUGGACGUUGCUUGCUUCAACGGUUAUGAUUAUUUUUUUAAUUAGAAAUAUUAAUUGUGAUCCAUGUGCUUGUCUCUUGUUGGUUGUUUUGUGGUGUUGAGGAUUGCCAACGUGGCUCAUUUGUUUUUUUUAGGUGAUUUGUGUUUUCUUAGAGGUGAUUUGUGUUUCUUUUGUGAGGAGACUUAUCUUUUUAUUUUCGGUAAAUUACAAUUCCUUCCUUUAAAAGAUAUCUUAAAUUACAUUAUUCUCCUCUUUUAUGUUAAAAUAUACACUACUUAUUUUGAAAAGUAAAACUUAUACCCCCCUCUCUAUGAGAUGCUUGAAACAAAACUUCAUCCUUUAGUAAUUAAAUAUUACCUUGAUGAUUGUACGUUAUUCUUAGCAUAUUUUUUUAUCAAUUUCAGUAGAAUUUACCAGCAGAGCAAAGGAGUAUUAGAACAAUUGCCUAUGAUUUCGGGAUAUUUAUAAUUUUUUUUAUAUUUCAUUAUGUAAUUCUAUUAGUCCCAAUACAUAGCAAUUUUAGGGUGUUUUUUAUGUAAUUCACGAAGAAAUCAUGCAAAUCGGCAAAGCAAGAACAUCCGAAGAUUAGUGAAGACCUUGGGAAGAUUAAGAAUGAAGAUUCAAGAUGCAUCAUAAGACUUUACAACGGGAAAAAAUUUGGUCCCACAUCCCAAAACAUCUUAUAUGGAAGCAAACACCCAAAAGGACGGAAAAACAGAGAUUUAGGGCUCGGAACACACUCACAUGAGCCUAAUCCACUACUAGAAAAGUUUCAUAUACUGACGGAAUUUAGAGACAGAUUUUAUUCCGUCNAGGAAUAUUUUUUUCUCAAUCUCAUAACAAACAUGGGUAUAAUCAUUCCCUAACCAUGUAUUCCCGGGAAUGUCAUUCUUAACCUUGAAACAAACACCCCCUAAAUUUCACUCUUCUUCCCUCAUGUUGAAAUAUACAUCCCCUAUUUUGAAAAGUAAAAUUUAUAUUCCUUUUUUCUAUAGGAUGCUUGAAUUAAAAUCACCUCCCAUAAUAAUUAAAUAUGCACUACACUUUAAUUUAUUAUAAUAUAAAUAAUUAUUUUAUGAUAUAUACUAAUUUUGAACCACCAAUUAUGAAAACUAAUUUCAUUUUUUUAGAUUUAAACGUCAUUGAUAAUUAAAUUUAAAUAUUUUGUUGUUAAUUUUAUUAUUUAGAGUAUAAAAUUCAUUUUUAAUUAACCAUACUUAAAAACACUUUCUCUCUCUAAAAGACUCUUUUCUAUGACCACUCUCUAACCUCCCUUCACAACCGCUUCCCUCCAUGUCCAACAUAUUCCCAACCAUGAUGUAGAUGUUCAAAGUGGUGGUGGGACGAGUUACACAUGUCCUCCGCAUCACCUCUAAAUGCCAGAUCUGCUAGUAGGGCUCUUUUCCGGUGGUUCUGUGUGUUGUUUUGGGUUGUUUUGGUUGUCCAUCACUGGAUUUACAAUCCUUCUAUUCAUCUCCUCAAUCUACCACAUUACCUCUUCACCAAUCAUCAGUUUUCCAUGUGAUUGCUCGUUGGAUCUGGGUUCUUGAUCACAGGUUUGGGCUCUAUUAUGGGACUGUUCAUGCUUCUGACGCAAAAGAGCUAUUUUGGGUAUGUUCAUGUUGCUGAUGUAAGGGUUUGUUCACGUUACCUUUCUCAAAGAUUGGUGACCUUAUGUCUUUUUCAUGACAUACAAGGAUAUUUUGGUGAAUCUGUGAUAGUUGGGAUUGGUGUGGUAGGGGUAUUCUAUGUUGCUGAUGAAAAGUAGCAGGAAGUACAUGAUGCCAAAUCAAAAGAGUUUUCGUAUAAUUUUGCAAAGAGUGUGGCUUGGUGGUGAUGGAAGAGAUGUGUGGGCAUGGAUUUGGUUUUGGUUGUCGGUGUCGGCGCAAAAAUCUGUCUUUUUUAUGGAGAGUUGGGAUUUUUAAGUUAGGCGACACCAUGUUUUAUUGGGUUAAUGAUGAUUUCAUUGGUUGUUGGUGUUGAGUUGGAGUUGAAAUUUAUCGUGUUUUCUUGCAUGGUGGUAAGUUUUAGGUGGUGGUGAGUUUUCUGCUGUAUGUUCAUGGUGAUUAUCUAAUUUGGGUCCAUCUUUGUGGCGGUUGGCUCUUGCCAAUUUUGGGCGUUGUCCAACCUGAUUAUGUUUUGCACUAUUAUUCCAUUUGUUGACUGUCUUAGGAAUUUGUCAUUUGGACUCUGGUGGGCCGAUUGCUUUUGCUUCGAGAUCGGAAGACAAUUUUUAGAAAUUUGUUUUUUGGACUGUGUAUGGUGUCCUCUUUGGCAGAUCAUGGUUGAUUGGUAGUGAAAUAUGUAUUAGCGAAGGAUUUUUUUUCAGGUUGUUUAUUUCGGCUCAGCUGUAGGAAGAAAUGAUGUUUGAUAGUUUUUUGGAGGUUGUCAUGCAAGUAGCGGGCAUCAGGUGUUUGGAACUAAUUUUGGUGGGUAGUCACAUUGGAGGUCGAGUUUUCGACUCAACUUGAGUUAUACAGUUGAAUGAGGUUUGUCGUUGAUUUAUUUGGAGUUGAUUUUGGUGGUUAGUUUCUAUUGUGUUUGGUGAUAGACAUCAGUUGGAUGGUGUUUUUUUGGGUGUUUUGAUGUAUGAGGCGUUAGAUCUUACCAAAUGAGGAGGAUUUUAUAUUGUCCUAGUAUAUUUAUCUGAGCAUGUGCAUUUCUGCAGUAUGAUUGUAGAACAGAAACUUAAGCCACUUGAUUAAUUAUUUGUUUUUAUAUUAGCUAUUAUAAUAAUCAUGAUAUAAAGCCAAACCUGUUAUGUGAAUUGUUAGCUUAUUUUUAACAUUUGUUGUCCCUUUUUUGGCAUGUUGUGUGUUUCAUAGAAUAGCAACCAUUGCACGAAAGCAUGAUAAAUGUUGUAUGAGUGGAAUAGCAGCCUUGCAUGGAAGCAUGACAAAUGGUGUGUGCUUGCGAGUGUUUACUGGCAGGGACCUAAGUGACAGUAAGUGUUUACUAUCAGGGACCUAACUGAUAGUAAGUAUGCAUAGUCAUGGACCUACCAGCAAGUCAGCCGCAACCACUAAACAGCUUCAUUGGGGAAUAUGACCCAGUUAUUGACGAAGAGCAACACUUUGUUGGAAUGAGUUUGAGGAUAUUGAUUUAUGGUUCAAGGAUAUUGAUUUUCGGGGAUAUUGAUUUUUUAUUCAGGGACUAAAGUGGACAUUUUCUACUUUUACUUUAGUUCAUGUGACACCUCAUACCUCUUGUCAGCAUAAAACCUUUGCCACAUGAUCAGUUGAUAUAAUUAUUUAACGUCAGGGACUAAAGUGAUAACGGAAGUGCACAUUCAGGGACUACUUUGUAUUUAAUCCCGAGUCAAUGACCUUUGUAACAGCAAGGUGCAGAGUCAGGGACUAACGUGACCAUUUACUUAAAAACAACUUAUCUAUAAUUUUUUGACUUCAUCUUUUUUCUUAAUAAUGUUGGACCUAUGAACUAAAUGAGUGGAACUAUAUAUAACUCAAGUCCAAUUCAUUUAUUUAACGAGUUUAAUUUUAAGGUCAAGUUCUACUGAUUUGAUUCAUAAAUCAAUUUAAAAUUAUUAAUUAACGAAUCGAGUCCGAAAUUAUUUUCGAGAUUAUUUAGUUAUUGUCAUCCCUAAUUAAUAUGCAAAAAGAUAUAAAGUGUUGAACGUAAAGUGCAUGAAAUGUAAAUGUGUUAGAAGUUUAAAGUGCAAAAAUUCAAUAUUGUAAAACAACAUAAAAAAAACAUUUUUUUUUGGAUACAAGUCUACUUUUAAAUAUAUUGUCUAAAGAAUGGUAGAAAUCGUCGUAUUUCCUGCGGAAUUUCCAACGGAAAUAAUUCGUAACGAAUUUACUUUAAAGAAGUUUCCUGCGGAUUCUAUGACCGCAGGAACAUUUGCAGGUAAUAUAAUCUUUUGCUGCGGAUUUGUUCGUUUCUCUGCAAGCUGGGAGCGAAAGGAAUGUAAACCAAACAGCCUUCCAGUGUUACCCAAAUUUCAUGUUAAAGUUGGAGAUACAGUGAAACUCAUAUUGGACAGGUUUACUAAGAUCUUCAAGCACGAGAUAAACUUGAAGACAGAGCAUGUGAUGAGUAGAGAAGAGGGGGGAACAAUUGAUAUUGCCGGCAGCAGUUUGGAUAUCCCUACAGUUGACCUCGUUAUCAAUUAAUUCACAUUCUCCAAGGUUUCUUAGAACAUAUUUAUCCUCUGUCCUACCGAUGCUACCAUAGAUAAUGGAACCAAAAGCCUAGAAAGUUGGAUUUCAUGGUGCUUGAUUUCUAUUUUUAUUUUUGUGUUUUCUUGAUGGAAGUUUCAGAUCUAGAAAUUUAGUGUAAAUAUUCUAAAACAAGAUAAUGAAAAUUUGAAAUUUUUGCCUCAUUCUCAAAAUUGACGUGUUGAAAGGCACCGAGUUCUGAAAUUCAAGAUGGAGACAGGAGUAAUAGCUUUGAAGAAUGAAUGAAUGGUGAUGAUACCUAUUUUCCCCUUGACCAGAGAUAUAAAAAAUCCCAAUCAUGUGUCCAAAAUGGUGUAACUUUGAGUCAAGUUAUGCAAAAACAAUAAUUUUAAGUCUUGCUAUUUGCAAAGCCAUUGUCUGGACUCUUUAAUUGCAACAACGUUUUAUAUGUUAAAUGAAAUCAAUUUAGGUUUAUUCUCAUAUAUUAAUUUUGCAAAGGCAUUGUCUUAUAUUCGUUUUUCAUUGAUCUCCUUUUUGUUAGCAUAUAUGUUUUUGACAUUUGCAGUAUGAUGCUGAGCUACUUUUUUAAAUAAAGGCCAAGAUAACAUCAAAAUAUUGAAUACAAAGAAAAUGAGGAAUUUUAUUCUCUCGUGAAAAAGGUAUGUUUUUAUGGGUGAAGCUUAUCCAUCUAGUGAUUGUAUUGGAAAUCGGAUUUAAUUCUAUUAUCUCAUCUUGAUCGUAGUUUUCUCAAACUUUAUAUUUAUUAUAGCUAUGUAAUAGCUUUUUCUUUUUUUAAUUUUCAAAUGACUUCUUUACUUUGAUGCAUAAAGAAGGUUGCAUAAAGAGAAGAAGAGAAAAAUAAGUAAAUAAUGUGCAGAGAAAGGAAAUACACAGUAAGAAAUAGAAGAGGAAAAAUUAGCAGAUGAUGUUCACAACAGUUACGGCAGCAUAAAAGAAAGAUAACUGAUAAAAAAAAACCAAAAUUAAAAUCCUAAAAACGCAUAAAAGAAAGACGAACUGAUAAAACAAAACCCUAGGUCAUUCCAAUACCAGAAUAGUAACUAGUCUAUAACCCUAAGCUCGUUCACCACGGAUACGACGAGCAAGUUGAAUAUCCUUCACCAUAACGGUGAUCCUCUUAGCAUGAAUUGCACACAAAUUGGUAUCCUCAAACAAACCAACCAAAUAAGCUUCCACUGCUUCCUGAAGUGCGAGAACUGCAUGGCUCUGGAAUCUCAAAUCUGUCUUGAAAUUCUGAGCAAUUUCACGAACAAGACGCUGGAAUGGAAGUUUACGAAUCAAAAGUUCGGUACCCUUCUGAUACUUACGUAUCUCACGAAGAGCAACUGUUCCAGGACGAUAACGAUGAGGCUUCUUGAUUCCGCCGGUUGUUGGCACAGAUUUUCGAGCAGCCUUUGUGGCGAGUUGCUUCCUUGGUGCCUUACCAAGGGUGGAUCUGCGAGCAGUUUGCUUUGUACGCGCCAUUGAAUCGAAAAAAGAAGAAGACUAUUUUGAAAGAAGAAAGGAUUGAAGAUUGUGUAUGAAAGGAAGUGUUUAUAUAGGAGUGGAGAAAAUAGGAUUAGGUCGGUUUAAUUGAGAUUAGAGAGAUCUUGGACGUUGCUUGCUUCAACGGUUAUGAUUAUUUUUUUAAUUAGAAAUAUUAAUUGUGAUCCAUGUGCUUGUCUCUUGUUGGUUGUUUUGUGGUGUUGAGGAUUGCCAACGUGGCUCAUUUGUUUUUUUUAGGUGAUUUGUGUUUUCUUAGAGGUGAUUUGUGUUUCUUUUGUGAGGAGACUUAUCUUUUUAUUUUCGGUAAAUUACAAUUCCUUCCUUUAAAAGAUAUCUUAAAUUACAUUAUUCUCCUCUUUUAUGUUAAAAUAUACACUACUUAUUUUGAAAAGUAAAACUUAUACCCCCCUCUCUAUGAGAUGCUUGAAACAAAACUUCAUCCUUUAGUAAUUAAAUAUUACCUUGAUGAUUGUACGUUAUUCUUAGCAUAUUUUUUUAUCAAUUUCAGUAGAAUUUACCAGCAGAGCAAAGGAGUAUUAGAACAAUUGCCUAUGAUUUCGGGAUAUUUAUAAUUUUUUUUAUAUUUCAUUAUGUAAUUCUAUUAGUCCCAAUACAUAGCAAUUUUAGGGUGUUUUUUAUGUAAUUCACGAAGAAAUCAUGCAAAUCGGCAAAGCAAGAACAUCCGAAGAUUAGUGAAGACCUUGGGAAGAUUAAGAAUGAAGAUUCAAGAUGCAUCAUAAGACUUUACAACGGGAAAAAAUUUGGUCCCACAUCCCAAAACAUCUUAUAUGGAAGCAAACACCCAAAAGGACGGAAAAACAGAGAUUUAGGGCUCGGAACACACUCACAUGAGCCUAAUCCACUACUAGAAAAGUUUCAUAUACUGACGGAAUUUAGAGACAGAUUUUAUUCCGUCUCUGAUAGAGACGGAAGUUGAGACCGAAUAUAAUGAACAGAGACGGAAUUAUAUUUUUAACAUCAGAGACGGACUUUAGAGACGGAUUGUACCGUCACAAAAUUAUUCUGUCUCCAAUUCCGUCUCAAACAGGUCAAAUUUCUUUUUUUAAUUAAUUAAAAAUAACUUUUUAUCCAUUCGCUGGGGCCAUAUCUCAUUUUCACAGGGGCCAUAUCUCAUUUUCACAGGCUCCAAAAUCGAAUUUCACUUGGCUCCAACCCAAAACCCCCAAUUUUUUCAUCCCUCAACUUCAAAUUUCUGCAAAGCCUUAAAAUAAUCAAACUAAAAAUUAGAAUCACUUCAUCACCAAUUUCACAAAAGCCCUAAAAUGGCAAUUUCGAAUCCCUUCAUCUCCAAUUACACGCCCUGCAAUAGAUCCGCACAUCUAAGUUCAAAUCCCGGUUCGUGUUCAUCUCAGUUCUGCUCAUUUCAAUCCCUUUAUAUCGUUCUGAAGUUCUUAUGGUUGAGGUUAGUUUCUUAAAAAUUUCACUCAAUUUCUUUUCAUCGAUUAUCCCUAUUUUUAUAUGAUUUUCAUUCAUAUAACCUAGAUAAUCAUUUCAGCAAUCAAGCUUGAGGAGUCCCUUUUGUGGGUUUUGAGGAAAAGAAACCCUAAGCUUAACUAGAUUGUUGACUAAUUGUUAACUAGAUUGGUGACUAAGAACAAAUGGAUCUUGUUUGUUAUUGAUUGAUUGUCAAAGUCUAUCUCUCUAAAUCAACUAGAUCUCAUAUUCUGUUUCGUCUCACGACACAUGGUUUCACCAUUCUCAUAUUCUGUUAUCUGGUUUACAUUUAUUUGAUUUGUUGUUGGUUGAACACAAACUGUUUGAUAAAUGUUCUCUAAGUGAUUAUUUGAUUUGUUGUUUGUUGAACACAGAUCGAUUGAUAGAUAUACCCCUUUAGGAUGAAUCUUUGUUAUUGCAAGAUUAGAACUAUAAUUCGUAGUUUGAACAAACCUACAUUUAUGCAGUGAAAAUGAUUCAUAUUUGAUUGCGGAAGUUGGUCAAUGAUUGUUAAUUCAAAGUUUUCUAUACUUGCUUAUUGUAAAAGAGUAAAUGCGUCUUGUGACUUAAAUUGGUGAACAAGAGAAGAGUGGAUACAUGGCUGAACUAGGCAUUCAGACCACCUCUUAAGAUUUAGUUUAAUCAUUAUUCUUUUGUAAUUAUUAUGCAUUGUUAUAAUUUAAUUUCAUACUUAAUUCCAAUCUUUUUUAUAUUGCAAAUUACAUAUAUUGAUUACUUGCCUUUUACAUGAAGCGGGUAAGGGAAUGACUUCAAGAUGGCAUCUUUGCCUCUUGCAUUUGCCGCGAAGUUACAAUCUUUUAGUCAUGUUUGGUAAAUUUGAGAAACUUUCCUUGCAUAUUGAUUUUUUGAGGUAAGUGGCUGCUAUAAUGUUCCAUAUAUGAGUUCUCCUUUGUGAUAUGCUCUGAAAUUUUUAAUAAUGGUUCCAUUUUUAUUUGUGAUUCUUUCACAUCUUGUAGGUAUUUCUUUUUAUGUUUCAAUGGAAUUGUUGGCAAUUGACAUUGACUUCAUUCUCCCAAGGAGAUAGAAAAGGCAUGGCUUUGUUCUAGCAAGGAGAUAAAUUUUUUUGAAGGUAAUAUCUAUCCUAAGAUUAAGUUCUUUCUAUGGAAUCUACUGUUUUCAUAUAAUCCCAUUUUUCAUAUAACUUCUAAGUUUAACUCAAAUUAAUAUUCAUUGUACAAAUCACUAUGUUACUCCUAUGGUUUUUUUCCUUAGUACUAGUACUUACUAUAAAUUGGUAUUUCAUAUUUACAUGUUGCAGACUAUUGCUUCAGCAAUGGCUAUAUUAACGACAUUAUUUCGCAUCCCUACAAGUUCGACGGAGUAGACAUAGCUUUGCACUAUGUGUCUUUUCUAAGGCUGUGAUAUUUUAUGAUUCUCAUUUGUGUAACUCUUCUUUCUCUGUAGUUAUAUGUUCUACCUUUUUCUCAUAGUCUCCUCAUUUUUUGGUUUUUACUUGGUUACCAAAUAAUAUUAGGGAGGGUAAAAAUUUUGUGAUUCUAAUAUUUUGUUUACCACAUUUCUAUCUUACAUGUUAUCAUAAUUUAAUCUGAAAAUGUUCUGGUUUUGGUUUAUUUUUUCAUUCAGGGCAAUUAGUGGUAAAAUAAAUAGAGACACACUCUGCCUCCUUAUGAAGGUUCACGGGGUAAGCUAAAACUCAUAAAUGUAAUGGUUUGCUCCUCUAUUUUAGAUCAACAUAGUUAUUUUUCCACUUUAAAUAGGCUUGAUACUUUUUAUGUGUCUACUUACACUGAAUCUCUGAUGGGGAUCUUACUUCAUCAAACCAAUAUUGUCUUUAUCAAAGAAAAUUUAAUGUUAUAGUUGAGAAAGAUAUCAGUUAAAAUUACAUAUAUUUGCUUCCUUUCUUGUACAGUGGUUUAGACACACUUUACUUACCAUUUGUGAAUAUGAUGCAAGGGGGAAACCAUUACUCUUAAGUCUCUACUAGAAUUACCAUUAAAUAAUUAUUGUUAAUGAGAGAGUUAGUUAAUUUGGUUAGUUGGAUCAACAUAGUUAGAAGAAAUAAGGCAUGUUGUUUAAUAGGGAGAUUGUCUUGUCAUGUUGGUGUUUAUAGGCUAGAGAGGUACAGACCCUUGAAGUUCAACAUUAUUGUCUAUGUUCCCUCUAAUAACACACCAAGCUUAUAUCAACCGGUAGCUGUGGCCUGUUGGCAAUGUGUAUUGAAGGAUUAAUUUUUUUUUUUUAACGGUUUAGACUUAUAAAAAAUCAAGAAGCACAUUCUUUGAUAAUUGAAUAGCUAAGGAAAGAGAUUGCAAAUAUUAGGAGAAAACUGAAGGAAGAACAUUUUAUGUUUCAAGUAAGGGAAUGAGAUUUUUCUAGUUCAAUUAUCAGAUUUUUCUGUCUUAUUUUUCUAGUUCAAUUUUAAAUUUUUAAAGUGAAUGGAUGCAUAAUGAUGAUGUUGGUGCAUGCAUCAGCAACCUAACUUCUAGAGCCUUACCAUAUUCAUACGUGUGCUAGUUGUCUUUGUUCAAUUCUUUGAAUUUCCUUAUUUUUUCUCUAUAUAUUUGUUCCCUCUAAACUACCUUAAUUGGUGCAGGCUUUUUUUGUUCAGAUUUAUAAGGCCAGAGAAUAUUCCUCUUGAAUAUGGAGGAUUGAUUCAACCCACAGAUUUUAAGAAUGGUCCCCCUCAACCAUCUUUUAAGUUAUAACUGUUGAAGGAGGAUAAAAAGCUAACAUACAAAUAGAAGGAAUUGAGGUUACAAGUAAAGGUUUAGUGUUUAAGUAUAAUUUUGUACCUUUGUCUUUCUAAUUUAUGCUUCUAGGUAUAACUAUAUAAUUUUGUAAUUUAUGCUUUUUAGUGUAUGAUAUUAACUCUAUUAUUGUGGUAUGAGACCAACAUAUAUUUUAAAUUUUGCAGGUUGGUGGAAGUUAUACCUUUUCAGCUUAGGUGUUAUUCUGAAGCAUAUGUCAAGAGCUUGAGAUAAUGAUAAUGACAAUGAAGGAGGGGACACAAUAACACAAAUUUGGAGUUUAGAAAGUUUUAGAUUUAUUAUCGUAUUAAUAUUAUUAUUAGGUAAUGGUUAGUUGCAAACUGCGUGUAUUUUUUUUCGAGAACUUUUCUCAUGACUGUUAACUAACAUUAAUAUGUAGAUCAAAAUUUGUGUCUUUUCAAAUAGUGAAUAGCAUAAAAUACUAAAUUCAGUUUUUUUUUUUUUUUAAAUAAUUAAAUUAGAGACGGAAUUUAUAAUCUGUCUCUAUUGUCACGGAAUAAUCCAAGCCACAGAGACGGAAUUUUGUUUCUCAUAAUCCAACUUUAGAGACGGAAUUAAUAAUGUUGUGACGGAAUGUUUCUGUCUCUAUUAGAGACGGAAUCACUAAAUCCGUCUCUAAUUGCUUUAGAGACGAGUAAAACAGCCACGGAUCUAUUUCCGUCUCUAAUUCCGUCACCAAAGUGGUUAGAGACGGAUUUUUAACUUUUUAGAGACAGAUUUAGCCCGUCUCUGUAUUGAAUUUUUCUAGUAGUGUAAGACAUGAACCAUGCGCCUAAGGCUUCAACGGUGGUGAUGAUUUUUUAAUUAGAAAUAUUAAUUCUGAUCUACGUGCUUGUUUCCUAUUGGUUGUUUUGUGGUUUCGAGGAUUGCCAAUGUGGCUGAUUUGUUUUUUUCAAGUGUGAUUUGUGUUAAUUCAAGUUUAGUUGUUUAGGGAGGAUGUUAGUUUAGUUGUUAAUUCAAAUUUACUUAGUGAUAUAAUCAGACUUAGUGGUUAAUCACAUUAUAUUGUUUUUAGUUUGUUAUGAAUUUGUUACAAGUUUGUUAGAGAUUAGCAUAUAGAGUUAGGGUUUGUUAUAUAGCUUGUGCUUUAAGCAACCUAAUUAGUUCUAGUAUAUAAACUAAACUCUUGUACAUUUGUUCAUAUAUCAAUAAUACAAUUUCACUUUCUCAAUUCUAACCAUCUAUUCUUUCUUCUCAUUCUCUCUAAUCCACAAAUUUCACAAAUCCAAAAAACCGUAGAACAUUGCUUGUGUAAAGAGUUUCUAAGCUGCGCUAACAGUAGUCAGGCUCCGGUACACACCUCAACUCCAUGAAUGUCUCAUCUCACUUUUUCUUUUUUUAGUAAUGCAGAUAAAUUCACACAUAUUAUGAAGAGGUAAGGAGACAAUUGAUCACCUCCCUAAGACCUCUAUUUGGUAUUAUUUGUCCCACUUUCUCUCCAUUUAUAAACCCUUGAUAAUUAACACUCUCCAUACACAUCGUCAUUCAGUUCACCCAUCUAUGUUACUAUGUAUUUGGAGACAAUUUAGAGAAUUUUAGAGUGAGAUGAUCAUGGUUUUUGGGAACGUUUAGUAAUGUUUUGAUUUACGUCAUUGUAAUUUUAUUUCUUCCCUUCUAGACUACUCCAUAUGUAUUUUGAGUCUUUUAUGAUUACAUUAUGUAAUUUGGUAAAGCAAAACACCUCAUGAAAGUUAUGGAUGCUAAAUAAUGAAAAUCAAUGAAGGUUUGAAAGACCAGACAAGUUGGGGAAAUUAUGUCCCAAGUCCUAACAGCAUGUCGAGGAAGAAAAGCACUUAAAGAAUGAAGAAAAUUGGAAAAAUCCUCCAGGGCCACAUGCCCCAUGCAGGACCUACACACCCCACAUAUUGCUACACUGUAAAGGCCAAUUGGCCACUUCCUUAUGAGCUUUGCAUGUGUUGAGCGAGAAAAAACAGCGUUUUAUGGUUUUUUUUUCUAUUGUGGACAAGGAGAAAAUCGUAACACCUCAAUUUUUAAUAUUAGUUUAUUAAUAUUAGUAUUAUUGAUAUUAUUAGUAUUUGUUUUUAAGAUGGUAUUAAUUUAAUUAUUCGUAUUUAUUCGGACGUUAGGUAAUGAGAAAGUAAGGAGGAGUUAACUAAUCGAAUGAAUAAUGUGAGGAAAACUAUUUUAUGAAGAAGAUGGUGUGCCAUUAUGAAGAAUAAUAUUUAUAGGAUUGCCAAAGUGGCGGAUUUGUUUUCUAAGGUGAUUUGUGUUUUUUAGAGGUGAUUUGUGUUUCUUUUGUGAGUAAAUUACACUCCUUCUUUUAAUAGAAUCUUAAUUACACUCCAUUUCCUUCUUAUGAAAUAUACACCUUCCUUCUUUGAAAAGUAAAAUUUACACUCCCCUCUCUUAUGAGAUGCUUUAAUUAAAACAUUCUCCCUUAAUAAUUAAAUAUGCAUUACACUUUAAUCUAAUUUAAAAUAAAUAAAUAUUUUAGGCUUAAAUAUGUAAAUCGUCCAUGUAAGUUUGUGUAUUUUUUGUUUUCGUCCUUGUAUCUUUUUUGUUCUAAAACAAACUAUUUAAGUUAUAAACGUUUUGCUUUUGGUCCCUGUCGUCCUCAUAUAUUACAAAAAUGUUUAUGUGUUUAAGGGCGGCUGACGUGUGACAUGCCAAGUGAGGUUAUGUGUAGUAAGUGACAAGGUUAUUAGGACUAAAUUCAAAAACAAAAAUUUAUAGAGGGACAAAAUUCAAAAACACGAUUUAAGAAAAUUUCAAAUUAAAAAUCUUGUUUUCCUUUUUCAUCUUCUUCCUUCCUUUUUUUCAUCAUCUUCAACCUCACCUUCAUUAUAACCGGAAAACAUAAAUUAAACAUUCAAACUCUUUAAUCAAAAUCUCAUUUUCUAUUUCCGUCAAAAUCUUCUUCGUCACACGAUUCAAUUUAUUCCCAAUUCCAAAUCCAAAUCAUACUCAAACCCUAAAAUCUCCAUAACUACCCCCAAAUCGCAUCCCUUUUAUUUAUAUAAUAUAUAUACUUAUACCAUAUAGUAUAAUGAAAACUUCAUGUAUCAUUGUGUUUGUUAUUCUUCUAUUUCCUUCUAUCGAUUCAUCAUCACCCAAAACUAAUUGUACUCAUAAAUCUUCAAACAACAAAAACACAUAACUUGAAUUAAAUUCGGCAGAAACGUUCAAAAUUCCACAUGAAACCACACAACAAAAACCCAUUAAACCACACACCAGAUACAUUUUUUCUUUCGAACAACACAUAAUACCACAAUAAAUUAGCGGCUAAAAAUUCAUUUGAGCAAAUUUCAAAGGUAUGAUUUUUCAAAAGAUGCUUAUUUGAAACAUUGCAAAGUUCUUGCAGCCAUAAAAAAACACUUAUCAUAGUCGUAGGUUUGUUUGUUUUGGGCUUGUGUUCUUGUUCACAUUGACGAAAUUAAAAUUGCGCUUAAAAGAAGAAGAUUUGGGUUUUGGAUUUCUUCUCAACAUCCUUCAUAUUUUUCUUGAUUGAAGUUUUUUUUCCUUCCUUUGUUUUAUUAUGUUGUGUCUCUGGAUAUGGAAUUGAAAGAAGGGGGAUAAUUGAGGAUUAAGAAAGAGUGUGUUUAAAUAAGAAGAGUUUAAAUGAGAGGAAAUAGGAAAUGAGAUUUUGAUUAAAGGGAAUGUGAGUGUAAUUCAAACAUAUUUCAGGAGAAGGGAGUAUAUUUAGUCUUUUAUUUUUUAAAAAUACUUUUCUCUUCUUUUAAACAAAAAAUAGUGAAAAAUGGAUGGAUUAGAUGAAUUUGAACGAUAUAGAUAGAUCAAAACAAUUCAUUAAUCCAUUAACAAUUCACUAAAAGUUCUUUUAAAAAACAGUGAUUGUUUGCUAUUGGUUGCUUUGUGGUGUUAAGGAUUUACAACGUGGCUGAUUUAUUUUUAAUUAGAGAGAUCUUGUUUCUUUCUUUUUUACAUUUGGAUAGAUACUUUCCUCUUCUCUUUUUUUAGGAAAAAUGUUUUCCUCGCCUUUCCAACAAUAUAUAUAUAUAUAUAUAUAUAUAUAUAUAUAUAUAUAUAUAUAUAUAUAUAUAUAUAUAUAUAUAUAUAUAGACACACACACAAAAUUAUCCAUUUUUCAGCGCUUUUGGACUGAAAUUUUCUUUUUCAAAAAUACCCUCGAUUUUCAAUAUAAAUAACACAUAUAUUACCCUUGGAUAACAAGCUUCGGGAAAGAGGGAGUAGCCUUGCAUCUAUCUGUAGUAUUUGUUUUUUGAUUUAUGGAAGCUUGGAAGCUCUUAUUCCCCUCAAUGUAAGUUAGCCAUCAAAGUCUGUGUCGUUAAUAUUCUUAAUAUUAUUUGGCUAGCUAGAAACUUGGCAAGAUUUCUAAGACAAGAAAACUCUAUGACAGGUAACAUUACCAACCUUUGUUCUACAAUCACUAUGACAGAGUUCACUAUCCUCAAGGCUUUAAAAAUCAACAUUCACCCUCCAACCCUCCUUCAAUUAGCUCAAGGUUAACCAUCUCCAUACACGUACUCAUUCAGUUCAUCCAUCUAUCACGGAAACCCAUUCUUCUCAUAAUGUUCUUCACAUACCACAAAUCAUAUGUGUUGAGUCUUAAUGACAUACUCCACUGUAGAGAGAGCGUGGAAUAAAUUUCACUAUAUUGUUGAACAGUUACAAGAUAAAAUUCAGGUCAUAGAAAUUCACUUCGCCUCAAUCUUAUUAUUUCAUUUUGACAAGUAGAGUGUUACAUGGAUUUCUAACUUCACACUGCAAUGUGAUUCCAAAUUUUUCUCCUUAGCCCUUCCUUAUAGAGAUAUCAUAUGAGACUUAUUUAUACCUCCGAAACAAGCCUCUAACUGAAACAGAAUAACAACAUAGUUCAGUUAGAAUAUUUUUUGCCAACAGUACUGUAUAGAUGAAUUAACAACAUGUAUGAUAUUGCUAACGUGUCUCUUAUUUUGUGAUGUACUAUAUGCCAUGUUAUCUAGACCAGACUAUGUUAUAUUAUGUCAUGUACCCGUUAGUCAUGUAUGUGUAUUCAGACAGAUUAUGUAUUUUGUGUUCUCUGAUUUUACUGUUAUGGUAUUGUAUGAGACAUAUGUAUGUUGUUUAUCAUUCAGACAUGAAUUGUAUUGUAAUUUAAUGUAUCAAAUACUAGUUUUAACGCUCGAAUAAAUAUUAUAUACAAAAAAAAAUCGAGUUACAUAAACUCAGCUCGAGUUGUUGACAAAGCUACUACAAACUACAAAGUAGAUCUCCAAGUGUAAACACGGUAACUUGUUAAGGAUUUCCAAGUAUAAAAACUCUGAGCAAAGUCAAAGUCCACAUAACCUGUGUUUGCCUCUCGUUAAUGAAACUUUAUCAUAAAAUUUAAACAAAUAGAUAAAGAACCAUUAAGAUACCUUGAGAUCCACUUCAAUGAUGUCUUAUGACAUAGUCUUUGAUUCUCCAUAAAUCUACUAACCAAACUCAAAACACAAGCUAAGUCAGGUCAAUUGUAUACCACUCUAUACAUGACGUUGCAACCAAUAUUCGAAUAUGAAAUUUUUGUCAUCGUUUCCUUUUCUACAUAUGUACUAAACAACUACAUCAAUGAGAGUUUGUCAUGUUGUCUAAGGUCUCUAGACUAAGAGUGUUGAAACUUGUUUAUCUUUAUGCAUCCAAACCUUAAAACAAGCUUCACCAUAUAACUUUCUAUAUUUAGAGACGGAAUUAUAUAUCUUAGAGACGGAUUUAUAUUGAUCAGCUUCAUCUUUGAGCGACGGUUUUUUAUAGUUAGUGGCGGAAUUUUCUGUGUCUAAUCAGAGACGAAUAAUUUCCGUCGCUAACAAGCUUAGAGACGACGAAAUUAACAACGGAACAUAUCCGUCUCUAAUAAGAUUGGCGAUGGAAAUUUUGCAAUUUAGAGACAGAUAUCUCCCAUCUCUAUUUGAAAUUUUUCUAGUAUUUCUUCAUUCUUCAAGUAGUGUUAAUUUCUUCAUAAUGUAUUUCAUUUUGAAAAAUUCUUUAUUAAUAUAUAUAGGUGAUGUCUAGGUGAACCAUCAAUUAAGUGGUUCAUCAGUGGACUACUUAUGUAUACCAUCAAGAUAUAUUUAAAGGUCUAGAUGAAAUAGAAAAUAAAAUGAGAACACGUAGAUCUUUCCUCACACAAUCCAUUUCCCAAGCUUCUCUCUCCCCUCUUGUCUCUCUCGAUUUUUUCAGAUUCGCGUAUUCAAAAUCCUGGCAACCGCAGUAAAUGUCAAAAACCAAGGCUGAAGGAUGUUGUUCAUAUUCAAAUUAAAUGGCUAAGAUUCAAGGAUUGUUUCAUUAUUUUCCACCAAGCUAUUUUUUUCUUUCUGUAUUCUAAUUUUCUAGCCAAAGUUUCAAACAUAAAAAAAUUCGAAUCAUACUAAAUGAUAAAUCAAACAAUUAUUAUAUAAGAGGCGGGCUUCAUGGCCCUUAAGAUGUCACACAACAUUCUAAUUUAUUCUCUCUAUUAUGAAACUGCGUAAGUUCUUCUUAUUGUUUUUCUUUAAUUCAAUUGGUUAAGUCAAUCUCAACUUGCAAACAAUGAGAAACACAAAACCUUUUAAAGAGAAAAAAAAAAAAUGGCCUAUUCUCAUUUGCAGAAAAUACAACCAUAAACAUCAGUGAGAGAGGUAUGAAGUUUGGUGGGGAAGAGAGAGCAGAACAUAAUAUUCAGUGCGAUACACUUAGUGAGUCUUUUUAAUUUAAAGGUCAAAAUUAGUGGUACACCGGUGAGGGAUUUAGUUGAACCCUCACUCUAGAAUCCACGUAUAUAUAGGUUAAGACAGCGCUUAUACAUUUCUUAUCAAAUAAAUAUUUGUAUAAAAUAUUCUAAAAAUAUAUUAUAUAUAUAUUGUUUGUAACAAGCAAUCUUUUUUAUUUUUUAUUGAAAAUGUAUUUUUUUUAUAAGUUUAAAAAUUUUAAAUUUGAUUUAAACGAGAUUAAUCUUAGCAUAUUCUAUUGGAUGGUUUGUCACGAUGCUGCUCCUAUGAGGUCGUUGUUGCAUAACAGAGGUAUGCUAGACACUAAUAACUGCCCGAGGUGUCUCAAUAGUAGUGAAAGUAUCAUGCAUUGUCUUCGAGACUGUCCGUUUGUUAAGCAUCUUUGGUUUGCUCUUGGAUUUGACAAUAUUAACUUCUACUUGGGGAAUUCUCUGGUCACUUGGCUCAGACAAGGCGCAUUUAGCGCAAAUAAUUAUUUAUUCUCUGCUGCUCUUUGGUGGAUUUGGUGCGCUCGAAACUCACUUUGUAUGGAGAAUGAGAUAAUUUCUAUUUUCUCCUUGAAGGUAAAGGUAAAAAUUUACAAUUUGGCAACCCUUCUUCGUUUUGUUUUCUCUCCGGCAUUAUCCACGGAUAUAGGAGGUCGUUAUGUGACUUGGCAUCCAGAGGAGAGUAUGGCCGUUGUCUUGAAUGUUGAUGGUAGCAGCUUUGGAAAUCCCGAAAUAUCUAGUUUUUGUGGCGUUCUUCGCAGGAAUGAUGGUAGUUGGCUACAUGGGUUUGCUGGAAAUGUUGGUAUUUCCAGAGUCAUACAUGUAGAGUUGUUAGCUCUGUAUUAUGGAUUGAAAGCAGCUUGAGAAAGAGGAUAUAAAGAUAUGAUGUGAUUUUCUACUCUGACUCAACUCUGGCUGUUCAGUUAAUUUCAACCAUGGUGAAUCCCUGGCAUCAUUAUGCGUCAAUUAUUAGAAAUGUGCAGGAUUUAUUGCAAAGGAGUUGGAUUGUUCAGUUAAAGCAUUCUGUUAGGGAGACGAAUCCGUCCGUGGAUUUCAUUGCUAAACUAGGAGCUGCAAGUUCUGAUAUUUGGCGUGAGUUUUUGGAGCCACCAGAGGGUUUGCUUCCGCUGCAGCAGACUGAUGCUCGGCGAGAGAUGCAUUACCGAGACUAGUUUUUAACUCUUUUUUUUUCUUUUCCUUUUGUUAGCUCCUUUUCCCAAAAAAAAGUAUUCUAAAAAAGAAAUACUUUAAUUUAUAACAUGUUAUUUUAUUUUUGAAUUAUGAUCACUUUCACACACUUUUUUUCCUAAAUUAGUUUCUAUUUAAAAUAUUAGACAAGUAAAACUAUUAAUACAGGAUUUCAUUUUAACAACUAUCCUACUUUAAAUUGAUUACAAUUGUAAAAAUCAAUAUGAUGAUUUUUACACAUUUUUUAUGAAAUCAAUAUUCGUGUAAAAUAUUCUAAAAAUAUUAUAUUUAUCAAUAUUGUUUGUAUUAGAAAAGCAAUUUUUUAUUUUUGAUUGAAAAUGUAUGUUUUUUAGUUUAAAAAUCAUAAAUUUAAUUUAAACGAGAUUAUAUCUUAGCAUUUUCUAUUUCAUCGUAAAAAGAAAUACUUUAAUUUAUAACAUGUUAUUUUAUUUUUCAAUUAGGAUCACUUUCACACUUUUUUUUUCCUAAAUUAGUUUCUAUUCAAAAUAUUAGAUAAGUAAAACUAUUAAUACGGGAUUUCAUUUGAACAACUUUUCUACUUUAAAUUGAUUACAAUCAUAAAAAUCAAUAUGGGGAUUUGACUAGAAAACUCAAUAAAUAGCUUCUUGUAGGUAUUGUUUUUUUCAUAUCUUUCAAGAGAAUAUUUUAACUUCUUCAAAACAAAACAAAAAAUAAAAUGGCAACCGGCAUUAACCGCGUGCAUUUUCUCAUUGCAAUUCUAUGCAUUGCUUUUGUUUUUACUCAAGGUAAAAAUUUCGUUUAUUCUAUUCCUAACUUUUUAAAUUUUUGUUGAAUGAUUUAUAAAAUAUAAUUGUUUAUCCAUAGGGAGAUUGAAAUAAAAAUUAUUUUCUAACUAUGCAAAAUAUGUUUUCAAAAUAUAUUUACAAUGUGGAAUAUUAAUUCUCAUAAUAAUUUUCUGCCAAAAAAAUAUCUACAAUGGAUUCAAUAUUUUUUUAAUUAUUUUAAGCAUUUAUAGUCAAUCAGUAAAUAAAAUAUUAUUGGACAAAACUUCUAAGAAAAUUUUCUAUUGCAAUGGGAAACAUGGCAUAUGUAGAAUGAUUAUGAUCGUUUACGUAAUGAUUUGGUUUGAGAGGUGUCACUUCAGUGGUAGGAGCAUGAUUUUCUAACUUCAAUGAACGUUUAAAGCUCAUCUGAAACAGUUGUAAAAUAAUCAUAAUUAUCAAUUGUAAUGAUUUCAUCUCCCCAAUUUUAUUUCUUUUAAAUAAUCAUCAAAAUUUAAAAUUUAGUGUUGCUCACGGUUUCUGACAAUAUUAUAUUUAUUGUAGGAGGAUCAAUUGAUGCACGACCUACUACAAAAUAUUGCAUUACAGAAGUGAAAUGUCCAAAUAACGAUAAAGCUUGUAAUGAUUAUUGUUUAAAGAUUAGGUUUCCUGGUGGUGGUAAAUGUGAAUCAAAUAAUAUGUGUUGUUGUGAAGCAUAAUUGUAGCUUCUUGAAGUGUUGGUACAAGUGUUUUCUACACAUAAAGUCUUUAUGACUAAAUGAGAAUAAAUACAUUUUUUUACUUUCGUAUGAUCAAGUGUUUUAAUAAAUUUUGUUCGAAGGAAUUGAUUCAUAUUUUACAUGUCUUGGUUUUUAAAACGGAUUGAUAAUAUCCUUUUAGUUAAUAAUUCUUACAUCAUCAAGUUUUCAAUCCUGUUUUCUUCUCCCUCUCCAACAAGCCGGCCCUAAUUUUCUCUCUCUAGGUUUUCUCUUACCGUUUCUUCGUUGAGGGGUGGUUUUGGAUCAAUUCUUGACCUCAAAUCAACUCAUCUUCAUCUUUUUCUCUCUAUUUCAAUCUAAAUAAGUGAUUUUCACAUAGAUCUAGUUUUUUUUUUUGUGAUUUCAUCAUCUAAGUGUGGUGGUUUGUUGUUCAUCGUCUUGUGCGGCGUUGUUUGAUUUUCCAUCUUCGUGCGGUGUUCAUUUGAUUCAUAUUGAAAGAUCGAUUAUUCAAUCAAAGAUUUGGGCGUCAACGUUGCGGACAGUGGCGGAGCCAGGAAAAAAAAUCUAGGGUGGGCCAUAAAUAAUGAUGAAGCUUAAUUUUCUUAUAAGUGCAUUUUAUCAUUUGUUAGUUCGAAUGACUGUGGACUUGUUAUUUGUUAGUUCAAACCAGUAUUUUAAAAUUUGAACUGAUUAUCAACUCAAACAAAGUACAAGAUAUUGAUUGAAUAACUAGGUCAUUGAUUGAACCUCACGACUGAAUUGAAUGACUCAACUUCAUAAACAGAUGUAUAAGUAUUAAAUCGAAUUGAAUCGAACGACUGAGUCAUAAAAAAGUUAAAAUAAAACUCAUGACACAUAAUGUAAAAAAGAUCCAGGGCCGUCUUAACAAAUUCAUAGGCCCGGUUUUAAUUAUAUAAGGGAUGCAAAAAAAAAAAAUAUAUGGGCCCCAAAAAAAUAAAUAAGUCAUUUAAAAAAAAAAAAUAUUAAAAAUCACACUUUGGUGGGUCUUGAACACAUAACCUCACACUCAACAAAAAGUGGCCACACCACUAAAACAAGCUGUACAAAUUGAAUUAAUUUGCUUUUAAUAGAUAUAUAACCAUUAUUUUCGUGGCUUACAUAUAAUAAAAAAAAAUUGGGCCCCAAAAAAUUGGAGGCCCGGUGUCGUCGCCCAGCCUCGACGGGCUAUGGGCCGGCCCUGAAAAGAUCGUUACAUAAGAAAAUAUACUUAUAAUCAAUUAGUGUAAUGAAAUAUAUUUUAAUUUAAUUACGAAUAUAGUAUGGUUUUACCUAAAAAAUAGCGUUUAUACAAUUAAAUAUUUUUAUGAUAACAUUGUUUUUAAGGAUAUUUUAACGUUUAUAUUAUAUGUUAUGUCUUUUAAAAGAUAGUUGAGGUCCUCUAUUGUAUAAAAAAAUAUGUUACAUGUUUUAAAAGGGAUUUUUUAUUUGACAGAAAAAGAGAGUUGAAGUCUCCUUUAUAUAAAAAAGAAAAAAAGUAAAUAGAUUUGUAUAAAAAAUAAGAGUAAAGAAGGAAAGAUUGUUUUAAAUUGAAUAAAGGAUUUAUGUUAUAUUAAAUAAAGAUGGAUUAUUUUAACAAUUAUGAAUUUUAACGUUUAAACUUUCCAACUUGCAAGACUUUCCAACAUGCAAAAAAGAAAAAGAAAAAAAAAUGGUUCGGGCAAAACAUAUAUAUAAUAAGAAUUAUAUUUUUGGGGGUGGGCCAUGGUCUACCUUGGCCCAUGAAGGGCUCCGCUCCUGAUUGCAGAUUCGGAGGCCAUGAAUAUUCCGGUCACUUUAAUUUUAUCAUAUAUUUUUGUAGGCAUUAUGCCGUUAUAUGCUAUUAACUUGGAUGAUGCGAGUUUGUUCACAGAUUCAUCCUUUACGUUUUUAGCGGUGUUGAACGAUGUAAUCUCUCGAUUUGAAUGAAUGGAUAUCAUUUUGUUUUUGUCAAAAAAAAAAUGGAUUGACAUAAUAGGCUUAAUUGCACUUUUGGCCCCCUAUCUUUCCAAAAGUUGCGAUUUUGGCGCCUUAACCAAUUAAAAUACAAAACAGCCCCUUAUGUAUUGGAUCUUUGGCAGUUUUGGCCCCCAAGGCCAAUUUUGACUUGGUCUUCACUGACGUGGCACCCACAUCACUUAAUUUUUUUUUAAUUUUUUAAUUAAAAAAAAUAAAAUAAAAAUAUUUGUUUAUUUUUUAACAAAAAAAAUAAUUUUUAAAUAAUUAAAAAAUAAUUAUUUUUAGUUUAAGAAAAUCUUUUUUUAUUUUUUUAAUUAAAAAAUAAACUUUUUUUAAUAAUUAAAAAUUCAAAAAAAUAAAAAAUAUUUUUUUUUAAUUACAAAAAUAAAAAAAAUACACGUGUGCGUUGACCGAGUCAAAAUUGGCCUUGGGGCGAAAACUGCCAAAGAUCCAAUACAUAAAUGGCUGUUUUAUAUUUUAAUUAGUUAGGGGGCCAAAAUCAAAACUUUUAAAAAAAUAGGGUGCCAAAAGUACAAUUAAGCCAUAAUAAUACCUGCACGGCGCAACCAAUGAAAACAACAAACACGUUGAAAUGAAAAAAUCAAUUACCAACUAAACACAGAAACAUUAAACCACUAAAAACAACGUAUUAAAAAAGAAAGAAGGAAAAAAUAACACCACAAAUCAUAUGUCUUGAUUCUUAAAGACAUACUCCACUAUAGAGAGAGCGUAGAAUAAAUUUCACUAUAUUGAUGAACAAUUACAAGAUAUAGUCUACGUCAUAAAGUUUCACUCCACCCUUCAUGGUUCAUGCUUCAAUGUCGAUUCUUCUUUUUUCCACCACGGCGACCCCAACCUUACACUGCCAAGGGGGUCGUCGUUUCCCUCUUUCUCCACCAAUUUUGCCGUCGUUUCGUCCCUUCUUACCAAUUUUACUUUUUUUUCUUUAUUUCCUUCUACUUCUUCUCUCAUCUCCUUGGUGGAAAUUGGUGGGGAAAGGGGGCAACAACGACCUCGUUGGUGGUGAAAGGUUGGGGUCGCCGUGGUGAAAAAGAAGAAUCUAUGUUGAAGCAUGAACCAUGAAGGGAGAAUGAACAAAACAAGGGAAGAAAAGACGAAGAGUUAACGUGUUGAAAGAUUGAGAAUAGACAAAUGACUCGCUUAUACCAUCUUUUAAUCUCAGCCCUUCAUUUUAAUUUGAUGGCUACUAUUUAUUCCUACCAUUCUUAUUUAAGACAGCGCUUACACAUUUUUUAAGAAAUAAAUAUUCAUGUAAAAUAUUCUAAAACUAUUAUAUUUAUCAAUAUUGUUUGUAACAUAAAAGCAAUUUUUUAUUUUUUAUUGAAAAUGUAUUUUUUUAUUAGUUUAAAAAUCAGAAAUUUAAUUUAAAUGAGAUUAUAUCUUAGCAUAUUCUAUUUCAUUGUAAAAAGAAAUACUUUAAUUUAUAACAUUUUAUUUUCUUUUUCAAUUAUCAUCAUUUUCACACACGCUUUUUCCUAACCGUCAUAAUAUUCCUAAAGACUUUAAAGCACUUUUGAACGGCUCGGACGCCCUUCAGAAGGGCUCAUGAGGCCUAGGCGCGCCCUCCCUAAGGCGCCGUCUUUCUUAGCUGCUAGAAACCUCUAGAAAUCGUCUAAAAGACCAAAAGUCCAGCUUUCCUUAGGGCUGAAGUCACGCUAAAACAAGCCCACAAGGAGGCUAUAAAUACAACCCUUGUUAUUCUUUGAAUUAUUUUGCUUCAAUGUUAAUCUUACUUAUUCAAUAUGAACAGGAUGGUCAUGUAAAGCCAAUCAAUAAGCUCAAGAGAACUUUAUGAGGCGCCAAGUCACACAACAAAGAACCUCACCUACCGGCGUACUAAUUGGAACGCCAAUCAGCCAAACACAAACAUCAGGCACAGUUCAGGAACUCAGGUCGACGCUCAACAUACAAAGAGCCAUGCUCAAUCGUAAGGGCGUCAUAAAAAAAAUUGUCCAGGUUCUAUUUUUUCUUUGCAAUAUGAAAGAAUUAUUAUUUGGUUUAAUAUAGCGAUAUAAAGAGUGGAGGGAUUACCCAACGAUUUACUUCUUUACGCAACAAAGAGCAUGAAAAGUGGAGUAGUUAGUUAGUUUCAAUAUAAAAUAAAAGUUUGAAGUCGGUGAGGUAGUAAAAAUAUAAUCAGUUUCAAGUAAAGAUGAGCAAAAAAUCAAAGAAUAAAAUGGGCGAGUUAGUUCAUAUCAGGGAAGAAGUGCUUUCGGAUUUAAGAGGAGUGAUAAAAUUGAAUAGAGGAUUCAAUUCCAGUCUAAUAGAAGAAAGAAAAAGACUAAAAACACAAGAUAAUUGAUUAAGAAAGUUCUUCCCAAUUUAGUGGGAUAGUGAACAGGAGAGGAAAAGAAGUAGAAAAUAUGGGCGAGUUAAUAAGAGAAGACAACAAGUAGUUAGUUUUUAUUAAGUAAGAUUGAACAAAAGAACAAGAUAAUGAACAAAUAAAGUACAAAAAUCAUCAAACAAAGGAAGAAAAUCUAAGCUGGCAACAAGUCGCCGGUGUGUUUACAAAAGUUCAUCGGCGCAGAAAAAUCCAUGUUGACAACAAGUCGCCAGUGCGUUAACAAAAGUUCAUCAGUGCAGAAAAAUAUAUGUUGACAACAAGUCGUCGGUGCAUUUACAAAAGAACAUCUUCGCAGAAAAUCCGAUCGACAACAAGUCGACGGAGCGUAUUUGCAGAAAAUCCGAACUGACAACAAGUCGACGGUACAUCUUUGCAGAAAAUCCGAUCGACAACAAGUCGAUGGUGCGUAUUCGUAGAAAAUCCGAGCUGACAAAAAAGCAUUUAUAUCAUGUCAAAAAACCGAGCCGAAAAAAGUCGUCGGAACAUCACGCAUAAAGGAUAGCGCGAGCUAACAAUAGCGCCAAGUAAAACAUAAAUAAACUAAAGCACAUUUGAAAGGUCACGAAAUCUAAACUGUUAGAUCUUUCGAUAAAAUGAGCUCGCCUUGUAUUCUUUCGAAUACUCGCCCCUGAGGAAUCGCCAUAAAGAAAUCAACUCGUCACGGUGAUACAAACCACUUCGCCUUAUUCCAAGACUCGUGCUUGGGGGGCUAUGAGUGGUCAACCUAUAAAACAAUUCGAAUAUAUACUCCCUGGGGGGCUUCGAAGGAAAAGUGAAAUCACCCUAGGGGGACUCUCCAAAUUCAGACGAUAACACCCAAGGCACAUACAAACUAUAAACAAAGCAUAACCAAAAAAAUUCAAGCUAUUCAAAAACUUUGCCUUGUUCCAAGACUCGUGCUUGGGGGGCUGUGAAACGUCAUACUAUUCCUAAAGACUUAAAAGUCCUCUAUAAAGGCUCAAACACCCUUUAGAAAGGCUCCUGAGGCCUAGGUGCGCUCUCCCUAGGGCACCGCCUUUCUUAUCUUCUAGAAACCUCUAGAAAUCGCCUAAAAGACCAAAAGUCCAGCUUCCUUGGGGUUGAAACCACACUAAAACAAGCCCACACGGAGUCUAUAAAUACAACCCUUGAGAGCUUUCUCGAGGCAUCCAAUAAUCAGUCUAAACCCUUGAAUAUGAUACCUAACCCUAACAUCCCUUAUUGUGCUUUUUUGCAAGUACAGUACUUUAAAUUUAUUACAAUCAUAAAAAAAUUCAAUAUGGUGAUUUUUCUAGAAAACUCACUAAAUAACUUCUUGUAGGUAUUUUUUUCAUAUCUUUCAAGACAACAUUUUAGAUUCUUAAAAAAAAAAAAAAAAAAAAAAAAAAGGCAACUGGCAUUAACCGCGUGAAUUUUUUUAUUGCAAUUCUAUGCAUUGAUUUUGUUUUAACUCAAGGUAACAAUUUCGUUUAUUAUAUUCCUAACAUUUUUUAUUUUUUUAUAGAACGAUUUAGAAAAUAUAAUCGUUUAUCCAUAGGAAGAUUGAAAUAAAAAUUAUUUUCAAACGUUGAAAAAUAUUUUGAUUUUUCAAAAUAUAUUUACAAUGUGGAAUAUAAAUUGUCAUGGUAAUUUUCAGCCAAAAAAAACAUGCACAAUGGAUUCAAUAUGUUUAAUUAUUUUAAGCAUAAUUAGUCAAUCAAUAAAAAAAUAUUGGACAUAACUUCUAUUAAUUUUUUUAUCGCAAUGGGAAACAUGGAGAGAAAAGAUCUUUGAGAAAAAACGUUAUUAGAAAAUGAUCUGGUCGGACCUACGAGGAUGAUUAAGUUGCUUAGAUAUGUCGUCUAUUGCGGUUGAUCCGCCGAUCUGUCUGUCAUCAGUGUAGUUCUGAUGAACUGUGGUGAGGUGAUGAUUACGAUGAAGUUGGUUGAUCGUCAUCUCCUGGUGAGACGAAGGGGAGUUGUUUACCUUUACACGCUCUGACGCCAAGUAAUUAAGGGUUUAAAGAGGAGAGGUCAGAAGUUUAGGGUAAGAAGUGUCAUAUUUGACCCAAGGCUAAGGCCUAUGUAUAUAUAGUGGUUAGUCAAAGCUUGGUUGGCAAACCUUAUCUUGACAAUUGUACCUGCUGGUUAGGACCUGGGUAACCAUCGGCCCUAGGGAGCUACCAUCAGCCUGCAUGGCCAUGGUCAACCCCCGAACCUCGUGCGUAACCCUCGGCCUGCAUCGUAAUCUUGUGGAUUUUAGGGUGUGUCCAUCGUAUGUUGUCGCCUUCUUAGUCGACUCAAGUCGGACAUGAGGGGAGCCGAAUUAGGAUCUAGCCCAUCCGGAACAGUAGCCCCACAAGUUAUAGGUUGAGGGAGUUAAAAUGUAUCUUGAUAAAGCUCUCUCUUUGGAAGUCUAUCUUAGAGGUCAAGGACAUGGUCUUGCGUCGUGGUUUAUGGGUUGUGCGGGUCUUGUCAGGUAAUAUGCAUGGUAAUUUGGUUAUCACAAUGGAAAACAUAAGUGUGAUUUAGAGGAGUCUUCUGAAGGAGAAGUGUGAGUCGUUGCAACUCUUUAGUAGUCAAAGUUUAAGUACCUAUAUUUUACAUAUGUUGAACAAAAGGACACACUCGAGUUUUAGGUAAGAACAAAGGGGGCUUCUAGGGUGAGGCUCCAGCUAAACCACUUACUCGUGGACCAGCCAAAUUAACCCAUGUUUGAAGGUAAUUUUGGUCGAUAAAUGUAAUACCUAAGUCAUUUUGGGAAGUUUUGUAAACUGAGGUAAAUUGCGAAAUUGCAUAUGUGUAACCUCCGUUGCGGUUAUUUUUUAGAUAAAGUGUAGAUCAACCGCGAACCUCUACCAAAAGCAGGGGACUCAUUGUUCUGCUUGCAAAGGUGUGGCAUAAUAUUCUGGUACUGAGAUUACUAAUUCCAAAUUUGUUAUGUCCAAUGAAAUUGAGGUUUCACUCUUCUUUCAUCAUGUUAAAACAUGGAUGGUUGUUAAUAUCCCUAUCAUGGUUUAAAAUUGUGGACCUACUGCUAGCAUAUAAGGCACAGUUGCAAUGUGAUUGUAAAUCACAAUAAAAAUUGCAUCAUAAUGCCAAAAACAUAGUGGACGCAACGGACUCAUCAGACCACAACAAACUAUGUAAUGCUCACAAUACCCACGAUCGUCAUGGCUGCUACCACAAUUUAAAACUAAAACCAUGAUCCAAAUACUUGUUCUCUUGUGGAACAUAAGAUUCACAACAAUAUGAUACUUUGGUCAUCACAACAUGAAACAUAAGUGUGAGUUAUAGUAGAAACCGUCUUUUUUUUUUCUCUCCUUCCAUUGUUUUUGAGCAAGUGUUACUCCACCGACGAGUGAUGGUCUUUUACCCUAUCUGACUUUGAGCGACCUUGAUACCUUCAUCUUGGGGUGCCUCCUACAGAGAAUAACAUCUACCCAAUUUGUUUUCAGAGAUAGAGUUGGUACUCUCGGCCAACUAUUGGGAUCCGGAUUUAGUAACUUUGGGAGGGAAAAGUUAUGUGAUUUUGAUCAAUAUCCACCCUUAAUUUAAUUUGUUGUUUCAGAAUUUGAAACAUGUUCCAACCUUUGUUUGUAUUAAAAAACAAAAGCAAACAUCAAAUGGAGAUUCAUCACAAAGCCAGUGCCUAUAUCACACGACCAUAGUCAUGACCGAUCACCACUUUCACAAACUUCCACUUUCACAAAUCAGAUUGAUCAGUAUAACCCAUUUUCAUGACCGAUCAUCACAACAGAGAAAUCAAAAUAUGGAAAUCCAAUUUUAUUCUUCAAUGUCUUCUUCUAUGAAUAAAUUUUCAAAAAAAAAAAUUAAUCCAACCAAUUUCAAUCUCAUUUUCAAAUAAUCAAAAUCUGGAAAAUCAACUUCAUAUAUUCUUUCACGAUGGCGGCGUUGAAGGGAUGGUGGUGGUUAUAGGACGGCGGUGCGACAGACAACGGCAACGGUAACAGCAAAGGGGUGUGGAAGAGAGAUAAGUUCUGAUAUGGAUUGAUGAAACGGGUCUGAGAUUUUCUGAGAAGGGUCGGCGGCGAUAACGGAGGUUGUGAUUGGAUGACGGCGGCGCGCGGCGGACAUCAGGCUGAAUAGAGAGGGGUAGAGAGGAAGAAUGGGUCAUGAAAAUGGGUUAUACUGAUCAAUCUAAUUUGUUUUAGUUUUUUAACAUAAAAAAUGACUGGGACGCGUGUUAAAAUAUGGACCAUAAGAUUUAUCCAAUGGUCAAUUUUUACCAAAGUCUCAUAACUUUUCCCUCCCAAAAGUUACUGAAUCUGAAUCUCAACUAUUGCUUUCAGUUUUCACAAUUAUUAUCCUUGAUUUAUUGAUAGCGGAUAAAAGUCAAUAUGGGAAUUUGACUAGUCAUAAAAAUCAAUGUGGGGAUUUGACUAGUCAUUAUGGGGAUUUGACUAGAAAAUUCAAUAAAUAGCUUCAUGUAGGUAUUGUUUUUUCAUAUCUUUCAAGAGAACAUUUUAACUUCUUCAAAACAAAACAAAAAAUAAAAUGGCAACCGGUAUUAACCGCGUGCAUUUUCUCAUUGCAAUUUUAUGCAUUGCUUUUGUUUUUACUCAAGGUAACAACUUCACUUAUUCUAUUCCUAACUUUUGUAUUUUUAUAGAAUGAUCAUUAGUGUCAAUUGUAUUAAUAAUAAUGACUUAAUCUCCCCCAAUUUUAUUUCUUUUAAAUAAUGAUAUAAAUUUAAAAUUUGAUGUUGCUCACGGUUUCUGACAAUAUUGUAUUUAUUGUAGGAGGAUCAAUUGAUGCACCACCUACUACGAAAUAUUGCAUUACAGAAGUGAAAUGUCCAAAUAACGAUAAAGCUUGUAAUGAUUAUUGUUUAAAGAUUAGGUUUCCUGGUGGUGGUAAAUGUGAAUCAAAUAAUAUGUGUUGUUGUGAAGCAUAAUUGUAGCUUCUCGAAGUAUUAGUACAAGUGUGUCUACACACAAAGUCUUUAUGACUAAAAAAGAAUAAAUGCAUUUUUUUACUUUCGUAUGAUCAAAUGUUUUAAUAAAUUUUGGUAUCUAAGCUCAACUGUUUGUUCCAAGGAAUUGACUCAUAAUUUACAUGUUCCUGGUUUUUAAAAUGGAUUGAUAAUAAUACCUGCAACAGUGCAACCAAUGAAAACACUAAACACAUUGAAAUAAAAAAUCAUGUACCAAAAAAAAAUAAAAAAUCAAUUACCAACUAAACACAGAAAAAUUAAACCACUAAAAACAACAUAUUAAAGAAGAAAGAAGAAAGAAAGAAAAAAAAAAACACCACAAAUCAUAGAGUUACAUGGAUUUCUAACUUAAAGUGCAACGUGAUUCCAAAUUUGUCUCCUUAGCCCCUCCUCAUAGAGAUUUCCUAUGAGACUUAUUUAUACCUCUGAAACAAGCCUCUAACUCAAACAGAAUAACAUAGUUCAGUUAGAAUAGUUUUUGCCAACACUGUGUAGCUGAAUUAACAAGUUGUAAUUGACUUGUGAUCCCAGAUGUAGCAACAUUUGGAUGCUCCAGAGUGCUGCAACACCUUGCUUGCAUCAUAUUUGAGAUACACAUAAAAAUAUCUCCAUGUUAUCUUCAAAUAAAACCUGUCCCACCAUCGUUGUUAUGCUCGCUUUUAAAUCUUUUGUUUUCGUACAAGUUAAUCAAGUCCAAGAAAUGUUUGAUCAUUGAUAGUUGUAGUGCCUUGGUAAAUGAAUUUGAAAGAUUAAAAAAUGAUAUGGUUGGUCUGAGAGGAUGAUUGAGCUGCUUAGAUAUGCCGCCUAUUGAGGUUGAUAUGCCGAUAUGCAUGUUGUCUGCCUGGUUCUGCUGAAUUGUGGUGAGGUGAUGAUUCCUGUGAAGUUGGUUGAUCGUCAUCCCCUAGUGAGACGAAGGGGAUUGUAUACCUGCAAAUGCUUCAACGUCCAAGUAAUUAACUCGCACAGGGAUAUUUUUGGAAUUUCAGUUGGGAAUAAGCAAAAUGUGUUGGGUAAAGAGCAAAAUUCAUAUUUAAUGGUCAAUUUUGUCCCCUUGGGCCCAUGAGCAACUUUAUUGGAAUUUGACCCCGCACGGUUCACCUUAGAAAUUCACCACUUAAAACCCUAGAUUAUGUUUCUUUCUUUGUUAGGGCAAAUAGAAAACAACAACAAUGGUUCAGCAUAGCAUUGGAGAAACACCACCAAACGAUUUCGCCAUGGAUACUGAAUCAACACAAGAAGCUUCAACGGUGACAAAGAAAAACUCGUUAACCCAACAACUACCAUCAAGGCAAGGUAGAAAAAGAGAGCGAUCACCAGAAACAACGAGCAUUGAUGCUGAUCAUGGUGACAAGCCUAGCAAGAUGAAGAAGCAGAGGUUGAGUAGAUCAGUGUCACGUUUUUCCAGAUCGGUUCAGCAACCACUUCACGUUGUUGUGCCUGGAGAAGGUUUUAGGGAUUCUGCUCAAAAGAUGAAGGCAAUAAAACUUGCAAAGAAAGCUUCUAAGAAGAGAAACAAAGCUGCUCGUCGCGGAGAAGCUGAUAGGGUUAUAGUUAAUCUCAGACCGAAGCACACUCUUGCUGGAAAGCGCCCCAAGGGAAAAGCUCACCACCGCUGAUGAAAUAAUUGGUAAUGUUGUUCUUUGGUAUCACGAUGUGUUUGUCAGAAUCACGGCGAACCGGAGUGGUUUUGCAGAAACUACGCAUUUUGUUUUAUUGAGCUCGAGUAAUUAUAGGUAGUGAAUUGCUUGUGGCACAAGGAUUUUGAUUAGUACUGAUUUUAAAUUAAUGUUUGAAUUUGUAGUUUAUUCCUACUAGUUUCGCUAUGCUGAAAAUGUUGAGCUUGUUAUAUACAAUCAAGUUGUGUUUUGUUUCAUUUAUUGGGGUGAUUGACAAAUCUUGUUGCUACAAGUUUAAUUUCUGCAUAUUGAUAUCCUGGUCAUGAGAUAUAUACUGAACUGCAAAUUUGUUCUUGUCUAUGUAACUAAGGUUCCGCUAUUCUUAUAUCGUCUUAAAACAUGGUUGUUUAUGUCCAAAUACUUGUUCUGUUGUGGAACAUUGUAUUCACAACAAAAUGCAUGCUAAUUUGGUUAUUACAAUAGAAAACAUAAGUGUGAGUUAGAGGAGUCUUGUGAAGGAGAAAUGCGAGUCAUUGCAUAGUCAAAGUUUAAGUACCUAUAUUUUGCAUCUGUUGAACAAAAGGACCACACUUGAGUUUUAGGUAAGAACAAAGGGGGCUUCUAGGGUGUGGCUCCAACUAAAUCCCUAACUCGUGGACCAGCCAAAUUAACCCAUGUUUGAAGGUAAUUUUGGUCGAUAAAUGUAAUACGUAAGUCAUUUUGGGAAGUUUUGUAAACUGAGGUAAAUUGCGAAAUUGUAUAUGUGUGUAACCUCCGCUGCAGUUAUUUUUGAGAUAAAGUGAAUAUCAACCGCGAACGAUGCUGGUGUCUCCACCAGAAGCUCUGCUUGCGGAGAUGUGGCAUAAUAAGAAAACAAGUGCAAUAUGUCAACAUCAAUCCUAACAUGUCAAUUUUGUUUCACUCAAGUAUUUGACGUGCUGAUGAUGACCUGUUAUAGGCUUUUUGUGCAGGGAAAUAUCGUAGGCUAUUAUAUUUGCUUGUCACUUUUGUGAUAGUUUUGUGUUUGAUUGGCUUUACAAGAAUGCAAUAAAUUUAAUGGGGUGAUCGUAGGGAAAUGUUGUAGGCAAAAGAACGUUAAUUAGUCACUCAUUUUAAAUCCUUAUGUUUCCAUUUAAGUUUUAUUCCUACUAGUUUCGUUAUGUUAUAUACAAGCAAGUUGUUUAUUGGUCGACAAAUAUUGUUGCUACAAGUUCAAUUUCUGCAUACUGAUAUUCUGGUGCUGAGAUUUCAAAUUCCAAAUUUGUUUCUGUCCAAUGUAACUGAGGUUUCACUCUUCUUUCAUCGUGUUAAAACAUGGAUGGUUGUGAAUAUCCCAAUCAUGGUUUAAAAUUGCGGACCUGCUGCUAGAAUAUAAGGCACAGUUGCAGUGUGAUUGUAAAUCACAAUAAAAACUGCAUCAUAACGCCGUAAACUUAGAGGACGCAACAGCCUCAUCAGGCCACAACAAACUAUGUAAUGCUCACAAUACCCACAAUCGUCAUGGCUGCAACCACAAUUUAAAACUAAAACUAUGAUCCAAAUACUUGUUCUCUUGUGGAACAUAAGAUUCACAACAAUAUGAUACUUUGGUCUUCACAAUUCACAACAGAAAACAUAAGCGUAAGUUAUAGUAGAAACCAUCUUUUUUUUUCUCUCCUGCCCUUGUUUUGAGCAAGUGUCACCGGUGAGUGACGGUCUUUUACCCUAUCUGACUUCGAGCGACCUUGGUACCUUCAUCUUGGGGCGCCUCCAGCACAGAAUAACAGCUACCCAAUUUGUUUUCAGAGACAGAGUUGGUACUGUCGGCUAACUAUUGCUUUCAAUUUUCACAGUUAUUAUCCAUGGUUUAUUGAUAGAGAUAAAAGGUUUUUGCCUUUUUACAGGUUCUACUAGUUGUGGAUACGUUUUGGUUUUUGAUGUAUUGUUGUUGGAAUGUUUUACUGGUUGAUGAGGUCUCUCACUUGAAGCCAACUUCAAAAGUUGAUGUCAUUAACAGAAAUGUAAUUAAAAAGGUGUCCAGCUGUGGAUAAUGUGAUUAAUUUAUCGUUCCGUUGAGGGUUCCCUUUUUAGAGAUAUAUACUAAAAGCCACCUAUUUCGAGAUAUAUAUACACUAAUUGGCAAGGACAAAUGACUUUCCCCUGUUACUGUUGGAGGCUGCAAAUUGGAAUUAUAGGUGGGUUGGUAAUGUUCUGAAGUGAAACAGAUUGGUUGUGGUUUACUGCAAGUGCAGCGCGGGAUGCUGCAAAAAAGUAUUGGAAAUAUAUCAGUUGUUCCAAAUUCUGGUUUAGUUUUAUGCUGAUGUGCUUAUGUUAGGUGACUCUGAGUUAAGUCUAUUUGAGUGUAAUUGGUGAAUACUUUGAUGUUACUUUAUCUGUUGUUUUGAUCUAUCUUUGCAUACAACCUGUUGCUUGAGAGUCCCAAGCAUAUUAUUAAAGUAACUUCUUUGCUUUUGUUAAAAAAAACUAAAUAUACUAAACUCGCUAUAGUUAAUUGCCAACCAUAAGGGACUUUAAUAACUUUUUCACCAAAACUAGUAUACAUCAAUAGAAAUUUCUACCUCAAAUCAAAUAAACUAAGGUUAAUUAUUACAUUCAAAUUUGAUGUUUGGCUAAGUUAAACUUUAACCAAAAGAACUCCUAUGUAAAUCACUAGAUUACAAGAAGCAUUUACAAGCAGAUUGUGUGUUGUCUCCAUAAAAUCAAAUUACAAGUAAUUGUUGGAGAUGGAUUUCUUGAACCUCCAAGGAUGCUUUUUUGGGUGACUGCAUAAUAAUAAUCCCACUGAUACAUUUGAGAUGAAUUGGUUGAGCCUCCAAGGAUGCAUUAUUUGAAAGUUGCUUCAAUGUGGCCACUAGUAGUUUUGUAUAAAUUUAUAAGUCAUCACCAAUUCUUCUUCUUUAUUGAUAUGGUUGUCUGGUGCUCCCAUACUAACUAGUAAACAUGUAAAGUAGUAUUCAAAAUAUCCACCAAAUCAAUUUUAUGAUCAUGCUCAUAUUUAUUUUUUUACACAAUACAUACAUUGAACUCCAUAUUACAAUGCCGUUAGCAAACAAAAGAGUUCAGCCACAUAUACAAUUUUAUAUUGCAGCCACCUUUAACACCAAGUCUGUUACAAUCUGUUAGAUCAUUAACUUAUAUUUUAUCGAACUGUAGUAUAUAAAGUUAGGUUGUAAGAGAUUUUUUCAUUCAUUUAGUUUAAUUCAUAGUUGAAGUUUGGAUAUGAAUCAUUCUUUUCUCUCUACUUUGAUGGUAAUAAGAGCUCUUCUAUGAACAGAAUUAGAACUCUUUUUAAUAGUUCUGCUGCACAUCACAAAUGGUUCGAGCUAAUGGCUCCGGUGGCUGCAGUGAUGCUUCCGCCGUGUUGACAGCAACUCAGAUUUCUGAGAUUCAGGCCAAUCCUUUCUAUAUUCGUCCAAGUGAGAGUCCCACUUCAGUGAUAAUUUUGCAACUUCACACCGGUUCCAAUUAUAAUGUUUGGACCCGUUCUAUGAAACGGGCUUUGUUCUUCCUCAUGAACAAAUACCAAUUUGUUGAUGGUAGAUCGCUGUUUUAACUUCUCGAGAUCUCAACUACGAGGUGUGGGAAUGCUUCAACAAUAUGAUUCAAUCAUGGCUCAUUUCUUCGGCUUCUCCACAUUUCGCUCAAAACGCGGUAUUUCUUGAUAAUGUUGUUGAUGUUCUGAAUGAACCGCCAGAACGAUUACAUGAUAGUAUUUCCUCUUUACGUCAAGGUAAUACUUCUGUUAUUGAUUAUUAUACUCAAUUGAAGAGUUUUUGGGAAGAAGUGGAGCAUUAUCAUCCCCUAUGGCAGUGUGUUUGUUGCAUUUGUAAGGCUAAAGAAUUUCAUUUAGAGGAUUAUUUGAUUCGUUUUCUUACUGGAUUAAACGGCCAAUUCAGUCAUGUUCGUUCUCAGGUUCUUCUUCUCGAACUCUUACCUACUUUGAACAAGACUCUUUCAAUGGGUUUACGACAAGAAUGCCAAAUUACUCAUGUACAUGUACAUGUACAUGUACAAGAGAUUUCUGCUAUGAUUGAUUCUGCUGCUGGUGGAGGCCGUGGUAAUCCCGGUUGUGGCGGCAGCCGUGAUCCUGCAAAAUCUGCACAUUCUGUCGAAGGCCUGGUUAUAGGGUAGAAUCGAAGGCCUAGUCGUAUGGUAGAAACUUGUUACAAGAAGCAUGGCUUUCCACCUUAUUUCCCAUACUCAGACAAAGGAACUCAAGCUUUUUACAUUACUUGUGCAGAGUCUGCAUCUCAUAGUAUUGAUAUCAUAUCUCAACCACAACAACAUUCUUCAUCUGAAGACAUGAAGUUCGCUCCAUAUUGUUCACCAAGGAUCAAUAUAAUGACCUACUUUCUUUGUUGCAGCAACAGUUCCUCCAUCCUGGUGAAUUAUCCAAUACUCAUGGUUCUAACAUGGUUUUGGCUACCAAUGGACAUGUCGCACCAGGUAGCUAUUCUAUUGUUUUUCACUUGCUAAUUGUGUGUGACCUCUAUUCCUUGGUAAAUAUAAAAAGUAUAUAUCGAUACACCUUAAAGUCUCAUAUUGUUUAUCCCCCGUGAGCUUAGCUCAGUUGGUAGGGAUAUUGCAUAUUAUAUGCAGGGGCCGGGGUUCGAACCCCGGACACUCUACUUCUCCACAAUUAAAUUGUGUGAGCUCUAGCCACUAGGCUAUUAGACCAAAAAAAAAAAAAAAAAAAGUCUCAUAUUGUUUAACAAGCGAGAUCAAACGUAAUUUAUGUACAAUAAUCAUAUUUCUCAACUAAAUGAGCUCUUUUUAUAAGUUACAAAACCGUAAGGUGGCUUAUGUAAACAUAGAAAUUACAUGCUAACAUGUUUUACUGCCAUGUGACAACAAUUCAACAAAAGGUGGCUUUACGAAUUCACACAUGUUCACAAUUUAGCUAAGACUUAUAGACUCAAUAUAUGUUUUUAUUGGUAAAAAUUCAAAUAUAUCCCACAUGUUAUGAAACUCAAGUGAUUGUGUGGAAUCAAUACAAAUUUUAAUUAAAUUCUAUAAAAAAAAAAUAAUCAUUGAAAUUUAAUGUAUUGGAAAAAUAUUUAUUACAGACGUUUCUAAAUUAAUUUGAAAAUUUUGGUAUAGAAAAGGCUCCAAAAACAAAAAAUAGGCUCCAAAAAUUAACACCGGUUCAAAACUUCGCUAGUUACGUCACGACCGAAUAACCCGUACAAACACCACAAACUAAUCUCAACCGUCCAUAUCAAACACAAUCAACGGUAAUCACAAUCGAUCCGCGUGAUUCAUUCUCAUUGGUCCAUUCCUCCCCAUCUCACAAUAUAAAACCCUUGCUACCGCCAAUGUUUUCAUUCACUUGAAUCUUUCAUCUUCUACAUUCUCUUUCUCUCUCCAAAACCGUUCCUUCAAAUCUCUGAAACUUUUCAUCAAUGGCGGGUAGAGGCAAAUCCCUUGGUUCCAGUGCUCCCAAGAAGGCUACCUCAAGGAGUAGCAAGGCGGGUCUCCAGUUCCCCGUUGGCCGUAUCGCUCGUUUCCUCAAAGCCGGAAAAUACGCUGAACGUGUUGGUGCUGGUGCUCCUGUUUACCUAGCUGCUGUUCUUGAAUAUCUCGCUGCUGAGGUAAUUUCCCUUCACUUCUCUCGUCCUUCCAAAUCGCUCUUUUUUCUUUUCAAUUUCAUAUACAUGUCGUAAGAUCUAGGGUUUCGUGAUUCAAAUCGAGUUCCCCAGAUUUAGGCAAAAUCAUCGAUUUUAAAUAACUUCGAAUUAAUUCAAUGGAAAGAAAUUGUUUUUGUUGUAGAUGUGUUUCGAAUUUUGUUUAAUUUCAAUUUCAUAUACAUGAUGCAUGAUCUAGGGUUUCGUGAUUUUGGUAGUUUUCUCCAAUUUCAAUAUAUUACUCAUCUUUUUGAAUAACUUUGAAUAAAUUUAUAAUUUAUUAUGUUUUAAUUUCAAUUUUAUAUACAUGUAAAAAAAAAUUAGGUUUUUGUGAUUCAAUUCAUUUUCCCUGAUUUUAUGUAAAUAAUCAUCUUUCUUCGAUGAUUUUGAAUGAAUUUAUCGAUUCUGUUAUGUGUUAUGAUUUUUGUUGAAUUCAAAUUUUUUAGGAUUUUAGUCUCAAAUUAUAUAUAUAUUUUAUUUUUGUGAUUAGGUUUUGGAAUUGGCUGGAAAUGCUGCAAGAGACAACAAGAAGACAAGAAUUGUGCCAAGACACAUUCAAUUGGCUGUGAGGAACGAUGAAGAAUUGAGCAAGCUUCUUGGUGAUGUUACCAUUGCUAAUGGUGGUGUUAUGCCCAAUAUUCACAACUUGUUGCUUCCAAAGAAGGCUGGUCCCUCCAAGAUUGUUGAUGAUGAAUGAAUGAAUCUUAGAUGAAAAACCUGAUUUUGCAGAUGCAGUUAUUGAAUUUAGUUUCAUAUUUUGUUGUUUCUGGUUUUAGUUUCAGACAGAGUUUAAUGAUUGGGAUUAUUAGGGCUUGUUAGUGGUUCUGUUAGUGAUGUUAAUACAAUGAAUUUCAGAUUGUUACUUUUGCAUGAGAAUGGUGGAAGUUUAUAACAUUGAUCCCUGUUUUUAAUUGUUCGUAUGAAUUUGUCUCUAGUCACUUCACUAACAAUCAAUCUGAAAUUAAGGCAGGGGUAAGGCCCUUACCAAGAAGAUUGUUUAAUUAUGUGUAUGGUAUCCAAAUGGAAGCUUAACAGAAAGUUUUGCUUAACAAUCUAUAUCAUGGUUUUCUUUUCUGAAUGCCUAAAGUAACAAACCUCCAUGGCCAUAAACUUGAUGCCUGUGUCAAUAGUUCAGCUUGAACCAUAAUUCAAGGUAACAAAUUUUAAAGCAAUUAUGAAUGUAAUCGCCCCAAAUACAUCCAUAAUUCAGCUUGAACCAUACUACAUCUAUCAGUCUUUCCUGCAAAUCCCCACAAAAAUCGUCCAUUGUGAUGGCGACCCAACCCCCGAGCAAGAAGACCCAUUUAAUUGCAUUACAUAAACAUUGCACUUAUUCCCAUAUUCGGAGCAGGCCAUUUCGGACUCAACAAAUGACAACUUUGUCACUCAUAACAGUAACAAAUUUCUCCUCGUUAGCCCUCUCAAGGUCUACAACAAGGUAGUAAACUUGGAAAAUGGUGUUACCUUGAUUAGGUGUGAUGGCUUUGAAAACCAACUCAUUUCUAUUGCACCAAACACAAGUUAAAGGAUCAAUGUCUGCCUGUCUGAAAUAUCUCCAAAUCUGCAUUGCCUGCCCAAUCUGUGAACACAUGAAGGAGUGUCUCAGAUUCCAGAUUGCAGAUCCGGCACAAGUCAUUAACCAGUCCUGUUUAGCCUGCUCUCCAAAUGACAUUUUUAUUUGGCCAUCCUUUGCAGAUUCCCUGUCAAAACUUCGAACCAGGUCUAUUACUUCUGAUUGUAGGCACAAUAUCUGAACCACACCUAUAUUUAGAUUUGAUAGUUUUAACCCACAACUCAUUACUUCUAUGACAAAGAGACCAACCUGCUUUCAUCAUAAGGUGAGUUUUAUGUGACUAAUAAUUAUAUGAUAUGCAUUACAUAUAUCGACACUACACUACAUAUGCACUUUGGCGCGUCCGUUUCACACCCUCAUUUUUGGACUCAAGGUUCUGGUUUUGUCCCAGUGAUAUGGUCUUUUCUGCUGUGGCUUCACAGAUUUAUUUUAGUUUUUCGGUGCAUUCUUGCAUGGUUUGGUGUAACCAACUCCUGUGUUACUGUUGUUUUUUUAAUUUGAUUAGAUUACUGAUUUUAUCCUCUUUGUUUAAAUUUCUGUUUGUAAAAUUUGGUCAAUUAAAAGAUAAUAGCAAGUUAUCGAUUUGGUCAUUCGAAAUUACCAUGACAAGAUGAAAUCUAUGGAACUUACAGGUCCAUAUUAAGACGAACGGUCCAAAUUAAAACUUAUUAGCCAUAGUCAAUAAUCGCCUAAUUCCUAACUCCUCUAGGCGAAGAAUUUGCUUAUCUGCAAAAUUUAUAUCUCCUCUUUGAGAACCCUAAUAAAUCAUUAACAGGUGGUGAGUGAAUAACAGAGAAAGUACUAAAAGAGUUGCACAUCAUUGUAGCUCAGAUAAUAUUCUUAUUCUUACAAACAUGCUAUGCUACAAAUAUUGUAAGGAAAAAAACAUAAGUUGUCACUAGACACAACACUAAAGAAUCAAUAUGAACUCCAAAAAGCAUCAAUCCGUAGAAUGAAAAGAAAAGAAAGAAUACAGAUGCAGUUUAUUGCAUUGUACUACAAAAGAUAGACAAAAAGAGUAGGAAGUGAGGUGGGGUUUAGCAUGGGAAAGGAUAAUUGUUUCCCACCAUGGGAAAGUUAUUUUUGACCAUUAGAUUAAGUUGCUUUAUCAUAGACUCUCUACACUAAUUAGAAGCUUUAUCCGAACCGAGCCACUGAAGAUACUCUUUGAUGCCCCCAAACAUUAAUAUGAACACAUUUACUUAGACAAGCCACCAGCAACAUGGCACAUUAUGCUUACAUCACAUAUUUUCCCCUAAUUGACUCUAUCUAAUCUCUACUUCUUCAAGCUUCUUUGCCUCCUGAACACAUUUUUGAACAUUCAAGCCAACGGUGGCGGAGCCAGGAUAAAAAAACUCGGGUGGGCCACCAAAAUAAGUAAUAAUAAUAAUUACAGUUUUAUUUGCAAAGGACAGCAUGGGAUGAUCAAGUACAAGAUGCAGUCAAUAGAAAAGUAGCAGCAAUAUUGUGAGUUGUGAUAGCCAUGGGAGAUCAAGUGUGUAUAUAUCAAUUAAUAGCAGACUCCAAUAUAACAAAGACAAAAUUCUAGAGAUGAUGAAUACAUAAUACAUUGAACCCUUUGUUCAUAAGAAAAAUUAAGGCUUAAAUGUCCAAUAAUACAAUGACAAAGUGACACGUGUCCCAGAGUUAACACGUGUCACCUUGUCAUUGGUUCUGGGAAUUUUUUACAAAAAGUAAAAUAUAUAUAUUAAAAAUAAAUUAUUAUUUUUUUAUAUAAAAAAAAUAUUUUUUUGUAAAAAAAAAAAGAAAACAGAGCCAAUGACAAGGUGACACGUGUCCACACUUAACGUUUUUUACUAAAACUAACGGAAACCUAACAGAAGGGACCAAAACGAGACUAAAAAAAAACUUAAAAUCCUCAAACAAUCUUUUUUUUAGUUAAGGGACCAAAGCGAUACCAAUUAAAUAGUUAAGGGACUAAAAGAGCAUUUAAGCCAAAAAUUAAAGUCAAAAUCAGCAAAUUAGUAAGUACAAUAAGAAAAUGAAUUAGUAUAAUUAGAAAUUAACAAAAAAAAAAAAACUCACACCAACUUUGUGCAAUUUGUACAAAAUGAGAACCAAUCAAAAUUUUUGUUUCACAAAUCUAUUUGUAGACUGUGUAGAAUCCAUAUGUUGAACAAUCGAAACAACAAAUAAAACAUAGGAAUCUCAAUAUCAAGUCAAAUUGUUGGUUUUUGACCUCUCUGUUGCCUUUGGAUAAAUACAUUUAGAGAGAGGGUGAGGGAAAUCCUGGUGGGUGUUAAAUACCUGACCCAAGCAUGACAAGCGCACGAUUAUGAAUUCUGCUCUUUAACCAGCACAUUUCGCUCGCACCCUGCAGCCAUGCUCAAAAUACCCCUACGCUAGUUAAUUAGUGCAAGUGUAAACUUAUGCGCAAGUUAAGUAGCGUUGCGCAUGUUAAGUAGCGCAAGUGUAAACUAGUGCAAACUUUAAGUGGCGCAAAGUGCCUACUUUUUAUUUAUUUAUUUAAUAUGGUGCAAAGUCGAAAAUAUUUUAUUUAUUCAAUAUGAUUUAAUAAAUUAUUUUAUUCAGUCAAUAUGGCGCAAAGUCUAAAUAUAAAUUUUAUUUUAUUCUAAAUUAUUUAUGCACUUAAAAAAAAUUCGAUUUUAUACUAAUUCAAUUUUCAUUCUAAUUUAUUUAUUCAUUAAAUGCAAAAUUAGAAAAUAAAAUCGAUUUUAUUUAUUCAAUACAUAAGCAUAAACAUAAAAUAAAAACGAAAAAUAAAUACAAAUAAAAAACAAAAUUAAUAAAAAAUAACUCUCAUUUUAUUAAUAUGAUUCAAACAUUACAUUAUAUAAUACUUAUAUUUUACCCCUUCAGUAUAUGCUAAUAACUCUUGGGGAAAAUAGUGAUAUGUCAUGUUGGGGAAAACGACAUCAAGACCCCUUGAGUUAAAUUUAAAUUUGGUUCCUUUUAUACCCCCAUAUUGAUUCAAGAUUUUAGGAGUAAAAGGAAACAAACCUAAUUUUUUCCAAGGGAUUAUGUCUUUUUCCCCAACUUAACGGACCACUAUUUCCCCCCAAAAGCCACCGGUAUUUACCUAAAGGGGUAUAAAAAGCCUAGAAACUAAAGAAGCAAAGAAGAAGAAGAAAAGGAGGGGGAGAGAGUGGGAGGAGAAAAUGUGAGGAAAAGAGAAAGUAUGUGAGGGUUUUUAUAGGUGGUAUAAGGUAUAUGGCACUUAAUGAGGUCCAAAAACGUGUGAAAAACUUAAGAAAAACGUGUAAAAUCCAAUCAAAACCAUUGACUACCGUCCAAGAAACGUUUGUGCUUCAGUUUUUAUCACCGGCCAACUUGUGCAAGUUAACUCGCGCAUAGGCUCAGUAGUGCGUGACUUAAGUCACGCAGAGCUUGUGAGGUGCGUGACUUAACUCACGCAGGGUUAUAUUUGGAAAAAGUGCAGGGCGCGAGCAAAAUGUGCAGGGUGAAGAGCAGAAUUCCGCGAUUAUACCGCUAGGACGAGCAAACAAUUGUGAAAUGUUUGUCGCACUAUUUCUAUAAAUUAUAUUUUUGUAUGCAGUAUACAAAAAAAAUAAAAAAAAUAAAUUGGGCCCAAAAUUUGGAGGCCUAGCUCAGUAGAGUUGUUUGCACCCCCUCAAGAACGGCCCUGAGAAGAUUAGUGUAUGGAAGGAUGCUUCUAUAAAGGAGCAAGACAAUUCUAAGUUAAUGAGUCUAAUAAAUUUGAGCUCGUAAAACCUAUAUGUCUCGUACCUUAUUGAACCAAAUUGAAAGGAGUGGAGGAGACGAUUUUAUUGAGGAAAACUUCAAUGUUAGGGAGGCCUCAAGUAUCUUAUUAGGGGGAUUGGGAAGAUAUCAUAUGUUGGAAAUUUAGUCCAACCAAAAUGUAUAGUGUUAAAUAUGGUCUCUAUUAGUCUCGUGAGCAUAGCUCGGUUGGUAGGACAAUGCAUUAUUAUAUGCAAGGGUUGGGGUUUGAACCCCAGACACUCUAUUUAUUCACCUUAUAAGGUGAAUUCUAGCCACUAGACUACUUGACAAAAAAAAAAUACGGUCUCUAUUACACCAUGAAACACUUGUUUGACAAUAACGAAUACCAGAAGGAAAUCUAACAAAGUUAUUGGAGGUAAAACUAACUCAAAAAACGAUUUUUAUAUGUUUUUUGUUGUUGUGUGGAGGGCACCAAAAGGAGUGUUACCUACUCCACAAAGACUUCAACACUGAGGGAUACCAUGCACAGAAUGUGUUUCUUUCGAUGUAGGAAAAGCAAAAGAUAUGUGUAGAAGCUGGUACCAUCUAAUCAUGUGAUUCAAAUUCAUUACUUUGUUGGUACCAUCUAAUCAUACCACGAGUCACUAAAUUCGCCUUUGUUGGCAAUCGAUUUCGAAGGAGACGCCAAACAAGGAUUGACACCUUCAACGGAAUCUGUCUAUGCCAAAUUAAAUCAGAAACCUCGGUAAUCACAUUACUCCCAUCUGAAGUGAGCAAAUCAUAAGCUGAUCGGACAGUUUAACUUCCUACAGGGUCGCGAGACCAUCUCCAAUGAUUUGUGGAAUUAACCUCCAAAACAACAUUAGCUAACAACAACCUACACUCCUCCACUAACAUCUCCUCCCAAUCCCACAACCUCAUACGCCACUCCCACGCAUCACCCCCUUCUCCCCAACCCUUGUCAAACAUUUCCUCCACUGUUCGAUUUUUAUUAAAGUUUAAGUCAUACAAGCGACUGAAUCGAACUGACAACGCAAUACCUCCCACCCACGGAUCAAUCCAAAAAAAAGUGUCCCGCCCGUUCCCCACCAUUUUUGUAACAUUAUCGUGGAACCACCUAUCUCCGCUACCUCCUCCACUACUACUAUGCAAACGCACAACCUCCCUCCGCCAUCUUUGACAAUUUUUAUUAAUAUCCAAGGUUUAAAUAAAAUGAUCAUAUAAAAAGGGACAUAGUGAAUAUUUAAAAUGCUUGUAGGAGGUUAUUAUUUUCUUUAUUAAUAAACUUUAGGUUAAAUUAUAUUCAACAAAACAAAAAUAUUUUGUUCAUAAAAAACAAAACAACAAUAUUGCACAUUUAUAAAAGCAUUUUAUAAACUAAUAUCAAAGUGAUAUAAUGAUAUGUAUGCAUAAAAUCAUCUCAUUAAAAAUAAGAUAGGAGUAAUUAAAUUAUAAAAAUAUUUUAAAAUGAUUAUCCCUUUUUUCUUUUUCUUUUUCUUUUUUGAUAGAAGAUUAUUCAUUUUUCAAUCACAUUCGCUCAUAAUAAACUUUUAACAAAUAUAAUUCUUCCCUUAAAAGAAUAAUUAAUCCGGGUAUUUCUUUUUCAAGGAAAUUAUGUUUUUUUUAGGAAUUUUUAAGGAAAAUUUGAUCCAUGUAUUUAUAAAAAAAAAACAUAUUUAAUCAAAAAAAAUCCAAAUAAACUAAUAUUAGACACGUGUACAAAAUGGCUUGUUUCGGUCCUACUAGUAGAGUAACCCAUACACACACCACAAACUAAUCUGGACCGUCCAUAUGAAACACAAUCAACGGCAACAAGUAUCGAUCCGCGUCAUUCAAUCUCAUUGGUCCAAUCAUCCCCAUCUCACACAAUAUAAAACCCUCGCUACCAUCUUCAAUUCUUCACUCUGAAUAUUCAUCUAUAUUCUCUCACCGAUUCAAAAACUUCACCUUCUUCAAAUCUCUCUUUUUUUCGAUUUCAAUUUCAAUUUCUUCAUCAAUUUCUUCAUCAAUGGCUGGUAGAGGCAAAACCCUAGGUUCCGGUUCUGCUAAAAAAGCCACCUCAAGAAGCAGCAAAGCUGGUCUUCAAUUCCCCGUUGGCCGUAUCGCUCGUUUCCUCAAAGCCGGAAAAUACGCUGAACGUGUUGGUGCUGGUGCUCCUGUUUACCUCGCCGCUGUUCUUGAAUAUCUCGCCGCUGAGGUAAUUUCCCUUCACCACCUUCAUUUUCACAUACAUAUCACCAGAUCUAGGGUUUCUUAAUUCAACUAGGUUUUCCCCCAAUUUUAGUAAUUUAUCAUAAUUUCUGAUUAAUUUCAACUUAAAUUAAAUAUUUUUGUUGAAUUUGAAGUUUUUUGGGUUAAUUUGGAUUGAAUUUGGAUUUAUUAGGGUUUUGAAUUGAAUUUGUGAUUUUUGUGUAGGUUUUGGAAUUGGCUGGAAAUGCUGCAAGAGACAACAAGAAGACAAGAAUUGUGCCAAGACACAUUCAAUUGGCUGUGAGGAACGAU
rnacentral:lncRNA from 1 species